UCACCAUGCACCUACAUAAACAAACACAUAAUUAUAUAUAAGUGAUUUUGCAUCUCCAUUAGCUUGUGCUAGUAACUGGUAACCAAGAACCCUCAUGUGCAUCAUUGCAUGCAUAGUUAAGAAACCAACAACCUCAAAAGGAUCUGCCUCUCUCUGACAAAAUGAAGCACAGUUCUCAUUUAUUGAAGAUGUUCUCUUUCCUACGAAGGAAGUACAUUUGUUUUCAAAGAAACCCCUCAAGCAAUUGUGAAAACUUUUAUGAUAUGUCCGCAUAGUAUUACAAAUUCACUCAAAUUAUAAUAUAUACUGUUAAAACCCUAAAACUAUAAAUCCUAUAAUAAAAGCAUCCUGUAUAUGCUAAUUAAUCUACCUUUCAUUUUCAUUUGCUCUUAAGUUUCUUCUCCAUUGACGAACAAUGCACAAGAUCCAAAUAUCAGAUAUUGUGGUCGUUUUCAAAGAGGCUCAUUUUGCGGAGCUUUAUUUGUAGCCGACAUGUUGCGUGUCUCAACUCAAACCAAUUAUUUAUGGGUCGUUUUCCAUACUCCAUAAAGAAGUAGCUAGAUAGGAUAGUGACCAUGCAACAUAAUUUAUAUUUGUAGACUAUCAAUUAUGGAACCAUCGAAUGACAUAAGUUAACCAUCUCUGCGCACAUGGGGUGGUACCACACUGAAAAAGUGAGCGAAACUCUCUUCCUAGCUUUAAGUGCAUCCAAUUCAAUUCACGUAUGAGACAAUUUUGAGGCAAUCCUAUAUAAAACUCUCCCCCCUCUACCUCCCUAAUGAAUGACAAAAAAACCCAUCUCUUGCCAUAUUUUUUUUCCCUUAAUGAGAAUACAUAUAGACAAUUAAUCAGCACUGUAAUAUACAAAGAAGUUGUUAUCGGCAAUUCAAAAAUGUUUACUCCUCUCAUGAAAACAAGUAGUAAACAUUGAUUACAAUGAAAAAAUGUAUCUUUUAAAGAGUUAUUUACACGAACACACCCUCAAGUUUUCGGCUUUUUCACAAAACCCCCUGAGGUUUCGAAAAUUACACGAACACCCCCCGAGGUUUUAAAUUGUUUCCACAAAACCAAUUUUCAUUGAUUUUUCGUCCACAGAUUGAUGAUUUUUUAUUAAAAUUUUUAUAUCCAAAAGACAGAAUUAACCUUUGAGAUUAGAUUGCACAUACAUUCACUAAGGUUGUUUUUUUUCAUUUGCACAUAUUUAAAAAAAAAUGAAAUCAUCAAGUUUAGGAAGAACAAUCAACGAAAAGGGGUUUUGUGAAAACAAUUUGAAACUUCAGUGGGUGUUCGUGUAAUUAUGAAACCUUAAAGGAUUUUGUAAAAAAGUCGAAAACCUGAGGGGGUGUUAGUUCAAAUAACUCUCUUUUAAAAUGUUUUGUAAUAAAUUUUGUGCAUCAUGUACGACUGUGCUUUUAUACAUGAUAAUAAAAUGAUUUUAUAGUAAAACUACAAAUGAUAACAUUUUUACACACCCACACAAAGAAACACGAAAAUAACAAAUUUAUUUCUAUAAUACUUCAAUCAACAAAAUUUUAUUAUUAAAGAUCAUUCUCCUAAAAAUUGACAUGGUUGUCAAGAAAAAAAAAAUUUUGACAGAUAGAAAAAUAUGUAACGUUACUGGUAUAUUUCUUGAUAUGUUAAAAAAAACAGUUAUUGAACAUUAUCAACUAGCUAUUAGUCUGUAUUUCUCUUCCGAAUAUUGUAAUAUGUCUCAAAUUCGAAUUAUCUUCUCACAUUGAUUUGAAAAAAAAAAACUCAACACUUUCCAAAUUAUAUUAAAAAGUUCAAAAAGCAACGAAAAACAUUAGAAAAUUAUAGUUUAACUCGGGCUAGUUAGACUAACCCAAACUCAACCCAACAGAGCCCAACAGACUUGGACUGAACCGAAGGCUAGUCAAGUUCGAGCCCAAAUGAAAAUCUGCAGUUCUUCUUCUUCUGACCCCAAAAAAAUAAAGUCCAAAUUAUUGCCAAAUUCAGGUAUAUUUUUAAUUUUAUUUCUUCAAUCGCAGGAAGCGCGAAAAGAAUCAAAAUUCGUAAAGUAAAAAACCCAUAAUUUCUGUGUUUCUGCUUCUGAAACUAAAAAACUGAAAAACCCUCUUCUAGGGUUUAAGUUCAACGGUCAGAGCUUUCAGGCUCUUCAAUGGCCAGCCCUAAGUCCGUCGACGCCUCUCUGUGGUGGGACCCUUUCUCUGUUUUACUCACUGAGCUCGAAAAUGCGUCUCUCUCGUCCGACCUCCCUCCCAAUUUGGUAAGCUCUCCUUCUCUCUCUCUCUCUCUCUCUCUCUCUCUCUCUCUAUAUAUAUAUAUAUAUAUGUAUAUCUCUAUCCCUCUAUUCAUGCAUGCAUUUGUGCGAAAGUAAGUAAGUGUUUGGAAUUUGGUUGGUGUUUUGUUUAGGUAAAGAAAUUGAAGGACAAUCAUGCUUGGUUUGUGGACACAUUGUCUCACUUCAAGCCGCCCAAUGAGAAUUCAAGAGAGGCUUUGAAUUCACAGCAAGUGAAAAUCGGGUCUCACCAGUUGGAUAUAAAACCUGAAUUGAAAGAUAAGGCUUUGAAAAUCAGCUCUUAUUUGGUGAGUUUGUACUACUGCUUUCAUGCCAUUUUCACAAUUGAAAUAUGCAUGCGUGUAGUGUUUAUAUAUGUACGGAUAUUGGAUUUUUUAUAUUGUAAAUAUUAUUUUCAGAAAUUGUGUGAAUCUAUAAAUUUGUGGCAAUUUUUGUUUCUUGCUUUUGGGCUCUCUGUGAACUUUUAUUUGGUUUUGGAUUCUCAAUUAGUGACUUGUAAAACUAAUCAUAUGAAUUAUAAAGUUGAUUCUGAAGAAACUUAUUAUGGGUUUGGCAAGUUCCGCAUGCAAAUUUUCAACCGAAGUUACUGCUUGGUUGAUUUAAUAGUAUGUUAUUUUCUUCAUGUUAUGUGAAACAGAUAGAUAAUGAUGUUCCCCAUAACAUAAAGCAGAUGCUACUGAUGGUCUUAUUGAUUGCCCUAGAUAAUGAUGUUCUCUAUAACAUAAAGCAGAUGCUACUGAUGGUCUUAUUGAUUGCCCAUUUGCUACAAAACUUACUUUUUUGUUUGUUUCAGUGUCUAGAUGAGGUGCAAUCGUACAUUCUUGUUGAGAGGUCUUUCAAGAACAACAACGUAGCUCUUGACUCUAUAGUUCACGAGUAUUUUCACGCGGUUAGUUUCUCACUCAUAUUGUCUGACUGGUACGUAUGUUGAAUGCUAUAGUUCUUAUGUUAACGUACCUGGUGUAAGGGGUGGAUGAGUUGAGUGUAAAUGUCAAAUUUUUGCUGCUUGCAGAAAGUGGACAUUUUUCGAUCAAACAGAAAAAGAAAUUGGACAUUUACUUUGUUGCAUUUAGUGUUAGUGUAUCAUUCUCAGUUUUUUCUUCUGUUUUUCCCACUUCCCUUCCCUCUUAUGCAGGUAUGUAUUGACUAUUACAUUGAGCGACAGUACCUGCUGAAAUGUACCAGGAGAAUUCUCGCACAUGCUUGUAAGUCAAUCAUGAGUCCCUCCCUCCUUCUGUUGGCAUCAUGUUUUUUUCGCUAAGGCUGAACUUCAACAACGUUUGAGAAUUGAUCAUUAAUGCAGUGUCUUUAGGAAGUGUCUCUGGAGAAGGUAAUGCUAUGAAGGAGGAGGCGCUAAAGUUGAUUUCUGAUGGAUUGGAGAGGAAGCUGUUAUCCGUGCUGCAAGACCUUUUAUCCUCUAAUCACCCUGAACAAAUGGUAUGUUCAAAUGCCAAUUAGGCGUAAUAAUUACCCCUUUAAGUUUAUAGAUCCUUGCUCCGUAGUAGACCAAUUAGGUUAUUUUUGUCCUCUUCAGGCGUCCUUUUGCAUUCUUAUGGGUUGUGCUGUGCUAAAUUAUGAAGUUAAUUGAUGUUGAAAUUACAUCUCACUGCAUGCUUGACCAUCUUUGGCUACAAUGUGGAUACUGGGGAUUUGGAAGCUGACGAAAAACUCUUUAGUAUAUUAUCAUUUACCAGGUUGCGUAUUUAUAUUUGAUAGUGUGUUGAAGGAGGUAAUGUUAAGCAAAAUUGAGGUAGUAGUGGCCUAGUGAGAGUGGUUGCUAUAACAACUGCUGGAGGAAGUUUUAAACCAGUUAUUGACAAAUAACAAGUCCCUGCGGCUGUGCGAUGUGCUAUUAAGAAACAUGUAUUUGGGUGUGGAAUAUCUAUUUGGCCGUCCCUGUAUUACAUUCAUAUGAUGCUUUAGGACAGAAUAGGUGAAAUUAUCAUCGUUUAUUCUGCUGAAUUGCAAUCUUAUGUUUCCUUAAUUACAUUUGAGAUUGUAUGUCGAUGCCCAUGUAAAGGGAUGUUAUUGACAUAGGUGUACGCAUCUCCAUGCAUGCUUUUAUUUGAAGAAUAUAGAAUUGAAUCAUUUUGUAUUUGUUACAACGCCCUAAUGUUAACUUGUCUGGGUACUUUAUUAGGAUAUUGACCUUUUCACUUUGUGGGCUGAGGAGACACUAGUUGAAGACAAUUUAGUUUUGGACAUUCUUUUCCUUGUUUAUAAUGAGUCAGUUUGUACUUGUAAUGGUGAAAGGUGGAAAACAUUGUGCUGGCUAUAUAAGGUAUUUUGUUAUCUUUCUUGCAGAAUUUGUUUAUAAAGUACUAUCUUAUCCUAUUCCAAGCUCAAAAGCUUUCUCCUGCAGGGAAUUCUAUCUGGGUCUUAUAACUUUGGAAAGUUGGCAGUAUCAACUGAAGCACUACGUUCUGCUUAUCAAGCCAAAGUUCAGCUGCUUCUAAUCCUUAUAGAAACCUUGGACCUGGAAAAUAUUCUCCAAAUGGUUCACGAUGAAAUCCCUUUCAGGUUUUUAUCUAGUUAGGAUGCAUCUGCAUAUUUAUUCUGCAAUUCAUAAACUAUCAAGAGCAAGCAUCUUAGGCCAUAUCAAUGAUUUAUGCAUUUAAAUUUCCAGAUCAUGAAGUUCACAUUUGUUGCGCAAUACAGUGCAGCAUUUCUUAUGUCAUUACUCAAUGAAGAUGCCUUUUGGUGUAUGCUAAGGGACGAACUGCCUUUAGGUGGAAUCCACUUGAGAGGCAGAUAUGGCGUGCCUUUAGUUAGGAUAUGUGUUGUAAAUUAGACAAGACAAAAUUAAAAUAACAAAAUUGAACUUAAGUAUUGGUUUCUAUUGGAUCAGAAAAUUCUACUAACUAUGAAAAGCAAGAGAAACUGCGAUUGCUUUUUUUCUUUCUUCUUAUUUAUUAUUAUUUAAUUAAUGUGAAUGCAGUACGAUCAAUACUCUUAUAUAAAUGAAAACCACUCAGACUCAUUACAAGCAGGCCUAGAGAUCUUGAAAUAAUAUGGGCGUUUAGGUCUAACAUUUCCACACCCAGAAAACUGCAGAUUCCCAAUUCGCUCGAAGCUUGAGUACUAUCUCUAAGCAUGCUGUUAGCCAAGCUAUUUAUCUGCGAAUUUAGGACCUUAAGAUAAUUUGAUUUGCAAUUUUAAAAUGCCGUGAUUGCAACUAUGGAUAUAAUAUGCUUGUUAAUGCUAUGGUAACUUCCCUUUUAUAUAUUUAAAUGAAAAGUGUUAAGCUUCAUCAGUAUAAUUCUAAUCAAUGAUUGAUUCCUUAAGGUUAAUAUGGUGUUGUUGGUUCUGUUCUUUGUGUCCAUUGUUAAAAUUUUCCAUGGUUAUAUAUCCUUACCUCCAUCAUCUUUAUUUGCCUUUUUCUGCUAUUCCUUAGGGAAGGCAAAUCCGUUUUUACUUUGGCUGAUGUCCAAGAGAUGGAAGCAAUAAUUUCAACUUUCAAUGUUUUUGAAACAAAAGAAGCAGGCCCAUUAAUUCUAGGAUGGGCUGUGUUUCUUUGUCUGAUUUCAUCACUUCCAGGCAAAGAAGAAAACAAUGUAGUAAUGGUAGGUGGUUCCGUGCAGAUGUUAUCUCCCAUCCAGGCUGUAUGAAUGAUACGAAUGAUUAUUGUGCUCAGUUUUUCUCUCAUUUUCCAGGAAAUUGACCAUGGUGGUUAUGUUCGUCAAGCCUUCGAGGCUGCAUCUUUGACUUAUCUUGUAGAAUUCCUUCAAAGUGAUGUAUUGAAGGAAUCUGAUGUAAGUUAUUCACAGUUUAUAAGUGUAUGUGUUUAGAGAAAGUAGUUUCUCGUGUUGCCCAAUAUGCUCAAAUUUGCCGAUUGGUUUCCCCUCUUUACUCAUUAGAAGGCUUGGGGUCCAUCCCGAGGUUUUAACAAGUUUUUAUUUACAUUGCUUUGGCCAUUUAAAGUCUUUUUUUUGUUGUCUUUUUUCCCCCAAAUUAUUUUCAUUUUCAAACGGGUGACCUUUUUUUCUUUCUUUUUCUUUAGGGGCCUGUUGCUGGUUAUCGAAGUGUGUUGAGAACCUUUAUUUCUACAUUUAUUGCAUCUUAUGAGAUUGGUCCUCAGGUAAAUGCAUAAUGGAUCUCUGCAAAUUCCUUAUUGGCAUUUGUUGGAUGCAUUUCUCAUUUCUUCUGCUCCUUAUACUGUGCAGCUGGAAGAUAGUGCUCUUAAGUUAAUAGUGGAUAUUCUUUGCAAAAUUUAUCAGGGAGAGGUUUGGACACUCUUGUUAUCUUUCAGCAUCUGUUGCUAUGAGAAAAAUAUUUUAUAAUUAUAAAUAUGAAAUUGCUAUUAUCAUUUUUAUUAGUGUAUUUGUUACUCAUUUUUAAAGGGAAGUUCCGCUGAAUUUUGCAGGAGUCACUUUGUAUCCAGUUUUGGGAUCGUGAAAGUUUUAUUGAUGAGCCUAUCCGGUGUCUUCUUCGCAGCUUAGAGGGUGAAUUUCCUUUCAGGACUGUGGAACUAGUUCGCCUUUUAUCAUCUUUUUGUGAAGGAACUUGGCCUGCAGAAUGUGUGUGAGUAUACUUAUUUGGCAAGGCUGUUUCUUAUUCUGGUUUUUGAUAAGCCGAAUGAGUUGUAGACCUGAUCAGUAUGUGGGUGUUGGGUUCAACUUUAAUUUGGUUAUGGAAAUUCUCAGGCCAGACUUGUUUGCUGUAUUAGUUGAUAAUAAGAAGAGUCUUUGUAAAAUUGUAUUUAUAAGCGGGUAGAAAGCCUAACAACAAUUAAUCAUAAAAGCUUAUGUAAACUUUGUCUCAGUUAUCCUUUUCAAUUUGUGCAACAUAACUGUCCUCAAAAUCCUAUAUUAAAAGGGCUACAGUACUUUUACUGUUUUUAUACAGUAAGCCAAAACUUUUUAUUUUUAUUUCGCCUGGUCCUCUGCAUCAAAUACUUACAGUCUUGGUGCUGUGAUUAAAGCUAAUGUAUAUAUUUGUGGUAAAUAAGUAAAGCAAAGUUUGUGCUAAGUAAAUGUGUGUGAAAAGAUAUGAUCAACUCCAUCUACUUGGUUAAGCAUGCUUAUAUCUAGUUGUAAACAUGUGUGAAUUUUUUCCUAUAUAUAUUUAUAUAGUUAGUGUAGCUAUUGGUUGUAAUUUUUGUAUAUUUUCUGGUGUUUCUCAAGCUUCUUUUUGUAAGAUGAUAUUGAUUCAUUAUUUCUUUUCUAUAUUCCCUCUGCCCAAGGGAAUGCUCAAAAUAAGUUAUAUUAUCUUUUAAUUGGUUCCCAUGCAAAACAUGCUGCUUAUUCAAUUAUUAUGUUGUUCUCUCAUUUGUCGUGUGUUCAUCCUGUCAACAGGUUUAACUUUCUAGAUAAGUCUGUUAAGAUAUCAUCCUUGGUUGAGAUUAAUCAUAGUUCCUCUGUGGAUGACAUCUCCACAAUUGUUGAGACGCACGUCCCAUUGCAUGUUCCUGGAUUUGAAGGUUUAGUCAUUCCCAGUAGAACUUGUGGACAUGUUUUAAGAUCAGUAGGUGGAAAUGCUGCUGUUGUCCAAUGGGAGGUAAGCGAAUUACUUUUAACUAUAUUGGUAAUUGGUUUGUAUUGAUGAAUUUUACAUAUUCCUGACAAAGAUCACUAGAGUUUCAACUGCUUAUAAGGGCACGGGUAUUUGGUGAUACUUUAAAAAGCAUGUUCCAAUGUUACUGCAUUUGUCUCUGUGUGCUGUUUGUGAAUACUCUAUCCUUCUCGUGUAUUUUGAAAUUUGAAUACGCAUUUUUAGAGAUUACCAUGUGACAAAUUAUUACCUCAAUUAUACGUGAGGCAUUAAAAUGCAAAAACAUGUAUUAUUUAAUAUUAUCUUGUCUUACUUUCGUUUUUGAUGCCAUCUUCCUUUACGCUCUACAUUAUUAACAAAGCCAUGAUUUUUUCUGCUAUAAUUCAAGUGACAUGUCUAGUAUCAUUUAGUGCAUUGUGAACAAUAUAUUCGAGGAGAGUAAUAUAAGAAAUCCAAUUUAAUAUUCAAUUUAAUUUUUUAUUGGUUGCUGUUUUGUGCUAAUUCAUGCUUCUUUUGUACAGUACACACAAUCUGAGGUGCUAGUAUUGCUCAUGCGCCUGGCUGAGGAGCUGUAUUUUGAGAGAAAUGAUGAAGUUCUUCUUAUCCUUGAUCUGAUUAGCCGGAUGGUUACCUUUAACACGGUAUUUUUUUUUCAUCAUUCAUUGCUAGAGUCUUUAUGGAUUUAGAAAAGUAUUUGACAAUUUAUUGUAGUCGUUGGGUUGUUGCUAAGAAACUUGGUGGCCAGGCCUUCAUGCUCUAUUUGAAUAAUCUUGAUUAAGCUGUUAAAUGCUUAUGGGUGCAAUUCAUGAUUUCUUACCAUUUCUGUAACUAUCUCUUUUUUACCAACAUUUUCAUACUGGUGUUUUAUGUUUAGGCUGUAUGUUUUGCUUUGAUGGACAUUGGGAGCUCAUUGCAUUUCCAAUCAACUGGCAUGAGUUGGCAGAUAGGAAGUAAUAUGUGGUAUAUAGCAACCUUUUGUUUGUGCUUAUGUGUUUUGUUUCCUCUUUCUCGCCUGUCUCAGUGUGUCUUGUAAUUUGCACUUUUGUUAUUCGUUCAGGUUGGUUGAGAUCAUUUGCACUUUAAUCAGAAAAUCAUCUCCUACUUCUGAUGGUGCCACUCUGAUGUCAUUGGGUAUAAAUAUUUUGGCAAAAAUGUUAAAAUGGUAACUUCAUCCUUUAUCCUCUUGAGUUCUCUAUGUCUUGCGUACAUAUCUUUGUCUUUUCAAUUGUGGGUGGUCUAAUAUUCUUAUUAUUAAGAUGAUGUCAAUUGGAAAGCUGUUCUUAGCCAGGGAUUCGGUCUGAGUUUUGUUCGCUUUAUUGUGGAAUUGUUAUUACGAUCUGAUGUUUGGUGGCGCAUUGUUGUAGGUUUGUUUUGCUUUGGCAGAUACUUGUCUGCUGUGUUUGUAGUUUGCCUUUAUAUCAAUAUAGUUCUGUUUCCACAUUAAAAAAUAUGGUGUCAAUGAGAAUGACUUCCCUCACAAUGACAGCAGUCGUAGUUGUACAUGAUAUAAUUCUUUAAAUUAAUAGUGCAGUCCUGAAUGUGAUGUAUCUUGAACUUCAGAGUGUUAUAUUAGCCUAUAAUUUUUGCUUUAAAUUGAUUUCGGCAUAUGCCAGACCUGAGCAAAACCUCUGUGUUUAACAUGCAUUUAUUGUGGCAGUUACCCUUCUCAUGUUGCUGAGGUGGCUUUAAAGGCAAAUAUAUUUGAUUUCAGCAAUGGUCACGAUGAUUCAUCAAGGUGAAUCCUUUGAGAAAAGACUUAUUUUCUUCGUUCUGCUGUUAUCGUGCAUACAUAUAAGUGUGCGGUUUAUAUUCUUGCCUGAAGUUAGUUGAAGUAUAUCUGAAGUGGAGCUGUAUGUCACUUCCUCUUUUUUGUUUUUUUGUUUUUUUGUUUUUCUUUCUCGGGCUUAUGUCUGGAUCCUUUCUUUAUAAGACCUUUUUUUCCCCACUGUAUAUUGUUGGCCACAUUAAUUUCCUGUUAUUCUUGUUCAUCUCAUACAUAUUUCCUCCUGAGGGUGCUCUACUUGUUACACAGUUGUCUUGUAGAAGAUUAAUUUCUCUUUAUGGCUUUGUUCUCCUCUUUCUUCGGUUUUGCAAUUUCCUUUAACUAAUUGUUAAAAUGAAUUUGUUACUGAUAAAGUGAAGCAUUGGUUGGGUGGAAGAGUGCAUUAUGAGUAUGUGGGAGGUUGUGGGUUCAACCCCCCACAACAACAUUUCAUUUCCCUUUUUUUCGUUUAAAAAAAAAAAGAAAUUGUUACUGACCCAGAAAGGCCUUGUGUUGAAAUUGAUGAGGGUAGAAAUAAAACAUGUUCAUCAACAUGCCUCAAUGCUACAUUUCUAGACAGAAAUGAAGUUCUACAUACCGUGAUGCUCCAAUGAAGUCCAUUCUUGUAUUGUGCUGCACAUGAGGCAAGCCUUAUACUGUAUUUUUUUUGGUGGGGGGCACAGUGGAAGUUGGUUAUAAAUAAUAAUCUAACAUUUAUCUUGGCUUUCUUGUUUGUGUUGGCAAUGUUGAUGCCUCAUGUGAGGCUGGGGGAGUUUUUGGUCUAAUCCUUGAUAUUACUUUUUGGCUUUUUUUUUUCUUUUUCUAGUGGAUCAUGGUUGCUUUCUGGAAAAAUGGCAAAGAUGCUAUUAAUUGACUGUGAGCAGAAUGAUGGUGACUGCUCAUUGACUAUAUCAGGUAUAUUUUGUUGUAUGAUUCUUUUUGCUUUCUUACGUUCUCUUUGUAAUUUUGUUUUAAAGUCUUACAAUUUGUUAAUGUACUUUUGCUGGUAUAACAUCAUCUAGUUUGUUGGGCUUUUUUUACUUUGUACUAAAUUAUGUCUAUAUACACAAUAAUAUAGGAAACACUGAUGUUUCGUUGUUUUUCAUUUUUUUAUCUUAGUUUUCUGCCUAGUUGUGUUUCAAAAUUUCAAAAUUUCUGUGAUCUAUUCCAUGACAUGGAUGGUUUUAAAACCUUGCAGUGCUGGACUUCACUGUACAUCUCAUGGACACAGGACUGAAAAAUGAUGCUGUCUUGGCUUUAAUUGUUUUCUGUAUUCAGUAUGUUCUUGUUAACCAUGAAUACUGGAAAUACAAGGUGAAACAUACUCGUUGGAGAGUAACAUUGAAGGUACAUCCUUUGGUUUCUCUUAUGCUGCUAUUGUGACAAAAGUUGGUUCUAUUUUUGUUUUACUUUAAGUUUACAACAAACUUGAUUCCUGUUGGGGGGUAAGCUUUUUGUUUUUUGUAUAACUAGCUUAAAUUCUGAGCUGGUCCUAAUUAAUAGGAUUGCCCUAUAAACCAUCAGAAACAGAGAAAAGUUGAUAGUUCCAUACAAGGUACAUACAGGAGAGUAACUUUAUAUUUUCUUGGCAAAUUAUAUUUUCUUAGCAAUUAUUAUACUACCAUAUGAGAUCAAGUCCUUUUGCUCUGCAUGCAGUUGCUGUCUUAUGUGCUGUGUCCUAUUGGGAUGACGAGUCUGGAUAUGAGUCAUGUGUCUUUUAAAUAUCUUUCUGAAAAUUAUGAAUGAGAGCACAGUUAAAUAGGAACUCGGCUUUGUUAGGGAAGUUGUUGUGGAGCUUUCCUUUGGAAAGAGAAUCUCUUUGGUAUGUUGUCAUUCAAGUUAGGUUUGGCAUUGAUGCCAAUGUGUGAGGCUUUAAUGUGGUGGCUGGAGGUUCCAAUUGAAGUCCUUGGAAUGACAUUUCAUUGGGAAUUAGGUAUUUUCUUCAUAAUCUUCAGUUAUUUGUGGGAAAGGGAGAAAAUUAGUUCUUAGGGAGAUAAUUAGGUUGGGGUUCUUCCUUUGUGCUUUUUAUAUCUGUGUCUACUACAUGAUGUGCAAAUUACCAAUCUUCGGCCUCCUAUAUUCCAAUGAGCUGGAAUUUCAAUUACUGGAGAAAUUUGAAUGAUUUUCAAAUGGGUAAGCUUUGUUCAUUAGUAUCUGCGGUAGAGAUUAUCUCCUUGUGUCCGUUCUGAUAAAAGGUCUUUGGCCAAUUGAAUCUUCCAGAACUGUUGAGUAGAUAGCAAGCUGAUAUAGAAUUUUUGUACCUUCAGUGGAUUACUUGUUUGCUGUAACUGUAGUACUAGUUUCACGUCAUUUUAAUAGUGUUAUUCUGUUUCUUAUCAAAGAAAGGAAAAGAAAAGAAGUUUAAUUGAAAGCAUCAUUUUCAAGACUAUUUCUAGGAUGAUACAACAAAUGAGCCCAAAUAGGCAAGCUUGUAAAGAAUUCAUAUCCAAAAUUUUGUCUGCUUCAGUGCUUGGUAGGGAAUCAAAAUGUGUGCAUGUUUGGCUUCUUGUGGCUAGUUAAUAUUCUCUAUUAAUUGGUUGUCUAAUUUAUUAUAUACUUGGCCUAACUGGUAUUGUAAAUGUAGAUUAUGCUGGGAAGGUGAAUUUUAAUAUCCUUUACUGUGUCAGGUGCUUGAAGUGAUGAAAAAAUGUAUUACAUCAAUAUCAUGCUCUGAAAAGUUGGAUGAAGUCAUCUUGGAUAGGUUACUGUCUGAUUCUUCCAUCCAUAGUACUCUCUUUCGGAUUGUUUGUACAACUACAGAAGCAUUAGAGGUGGGCUAUGCUGUGUAUCUUAUGAUCUUGUUUAGUCACAACCUGUUGUGAUUUUGUUCUAAUCACUAAUUUGGGGACAUUUUUCUGCAGAGACUUUAUAUCAGCUGGCAUCCGACAGAGAUUGAAGGUUUUGAGAUGGCUAUAUGUUCUGUUUUAGAUAUUCUUUUCAUAAUCCUCUCCAAAUUUUCUAAGGUAUGCUUGGAAGUAAGCAUGUGGAAUUGGCAUUUUGAUUGGCAUGGUAUAUGUUACAAUUUUUUUAUAAUGCUAAAUGUAGUGAUCUACUUCUGUUUAAAAGUGAGUUUUCUGGAGUCUGUGUAGAGACCAACUUUAUGUAUCUGUGAUGGAUAUUUUCCUUUAUUUGUAAUAUGGUGGUUGGUUUUAAGCGUUGUAUUUUUAUUUAAUACAAAAGUUGAUGUUCAGCUUUGUGUAUUUCCAGGAUAUAUCUUCCAGCCCUCCAUUUUUUCACCAAGCAGUCUUCUCAUCUGCAACAAAACCAAUUCCUGUAGUUGCAGCACUUGUCUCCUUGAUAUCUUACUUUCGCAAUCCUGUAUGGCCUUUCUCCAUUCUCAAUUGUUAUUGACUUUAUUCUUUGCUUUACAUUUGUAAACAGUACAGUUACAGGGUUCUCCCUUUUUGGUUAUUGUGUAUCUACAUGUAUAUCAUCAAAGUAUUAUUGGGAUAGUUCCUCAUUGCUUGCCUCAAUUGUCUAAUUGUCCAUAUAAUUAUUGUUUUUUGGUGAAUUGCAAUGCCAAUUUGUUUCUUUUUUUAUACUUAUUACAACACUUCGAUUCAUAAGAAACUUAUAGUUGCAUUCAAUGGUUUUUAAGCCUUACUCUAAGCUUUGGGCAUGAUAGGCGUAAUGUUAUUUCGUUUAACCGUCGAACUAGCAUGCCCUACAGGAUAGAAUAUGGCAUUGUGCACAUCUUAUGUACAUUUAAUUACACAGAAUUGUAUAGACACUAAAUAAGUCGGGAAUGUUAAUCCUUUGUCACUACCAAAUAAUUCUAAGUGGUAUUCUUUUUGUCUUGGUUUUAUUGACGGUAUGUCGGAUAAUAUUUCCAUAAUUGUUGAGUAUCUUUAUUAAGGUUCUUGAGUUUUCUGUGCAGGGAAUACAAGUUGGUGCUGCUAGGGUUUUAUCAGCGUUCUUGAUGAUGGCAGAUUUAAUGCAACCAUAUUUGUUUGGUAGCAGCUUCGGUCUGGAUGAUAAGCAGGUUUGGUGUGUUUACAUUUAUUUUUUAGUUCCGUGUUAAUUUCUUGUAAUUUCAGUUGAAUAAAUCAACUGCUUCUAAAUCUGUUUGUUGCUGCUACACUGUUGUAGAUUGGAGAUCUGAGGCAGUGUGUUAGUUACAUACUACUUGAGCAGUCGGAAUGGAAUGAAGAUCUCUUUGUUGCUGUAGUCAAUCUCCUCACUUCUGCUGCUCGUUAUCAGGUUUGUUAUUGUAUGGUAUCAAGUUCUGUAUUUUAUUGUUUGAGUUUCACUCACAAAGUUAGGAAGUAAUGUUUGAAUGCUAGUGGUGUUCAGUUCCAAAAAAGAAAAAGAAAAGAAAGAAUGCUAAUGGUCCAUUUCUUCCAAUUUUAAUUUAAGCCAUCUUGACAAUUGUUUGAUUAACGGCUCCAAAUUUUUUUCCUUUUUCAUUUUCUUGGAAAUGAAACACUUUUAAAUUCUGUAAUUAGGUGCUUAUAUUUCACAGAUAUUUGGUUAGAUUGGCGAGCACAAUGUAUUUGUUGUGUUUUCUGUUGGGUCUGUUUUAGCACUAGAUUGUCCACAUAUUUUUGUUCUGUUUCUAUGAAGUGAAUGUCUUGUCCAUUAUACUUGUACUUUUGUCAUUUAAUCCUUAAAAAUCUCUCUUUUAAAAAAAGAAAACAUUGUAUGUGUGUGUGUGUAUACAUAUGGUGGCAAUUUUAGUGCCUUUCAUUCUCAAGGCAAACUUUGUGUGGUUAUAUUGCUAGUCUUUCAUUGGAGUUUUGUGAUCUAUACAGAUAACAUUUCCUCCACUUAUUAAAGCGUUUGACUUCAAAGUAGUAGAACUAGUAGCGUUAUUAGCUGUUGAAAAAGCCAAGUUUAGCUGGGUACUUCCACAGACCUGUUACUCAUUGUUAAGCCAAGGGUUAGGUUUUGGUCUUCUAUGUAGGCAUCUGUGUCAUCUGAGUUCAGGGGUAUUUCUCUGUCUGAUAUUCUUCUAGAUAGAAGGGCAGUUGUUAAUAACUCAGCUGUUAGAUUUGUCUGGAUCAGUGGUACUGUAGUUUCUUAUGUUGUUUGAGGUGGACACCUUCACAGUAAUGUAUUGUUGAUUCUGAUAAGUCGAAGUAUCUUCUUAAAAAUUAGCACUUUGGGCAUCUAGUACAAAUAUACUUUUUGAUGCAGUCAAGGCAACUGAGCCUAAGCUACUCCUUAAUGAAAACAGGAACAAAGCUCUGGCAUUCAAGCCAAAGUUGUCUGGUUUACUAGAUCUUAGGUCGUCAGUGACCUGGUUAUGGCCUUUUUGAAAAUGAUUUGGUUUAGCUUUUUCUGAUUGAUUGUUUAUUCAUAUACAGCCUGCUUUUCUUGUUGCUGUAUUAUCCACCGAAGUGAAAAGGGAUGUUCAACAGAGUAAUGCUGGUCAUGUGAAGCUGCCAACAAAUGAUGUUACCUUCAGGUCAUCUGAGUGUGAAAAAACAAGUAUUGUGGAUGCAGUUCUGUAUCAAAUUGAAAGAUCUAAUGAUCUUAUCAACAGGUAUUUUGUGCUCAAUGGAUCCUUAAUUUGGUUUCUUAGUUAGUUCUUUCAUCAUUAUCCUGCAGUCUUGAAAUUUAUGCCUUUUUCUCUCAUUUUCUUAGUUCCUUUUUUUAAAUCUGCAGCAAUCCCCGAAUACUGCUGAAUGUUCUUAACUUUCUAAGGGCACUGUGGCAAGGUGCUGCUCAGUACACUAAUAUUUUGGAAUGCCUGAAAAGCUCCGAAAAUUUCUGGAAAAAAUUGUCCAGUUUUAUUUCAGUAAUUUCUAGUGUAGAAGCUCCUUCACCUGAAAAUAUAACUGAGACAGAAGCUCAAGAUUUGGCUUUCAGAUAUCAGUGUCAAUCUGCCAUAUUGGAAAUAAUGGCACAUGACAUGUUUCUGCACAAAAAGCUAUUACAUUUGGAGACACUUGCAAAAGAAGUGCCUGAAUCACAAGACAGGAUACAAAAUACAGUAAGAUUAGAAAAAUCAAAAGCUUCAGAUCUGGUGGAUAUUUUAUCAGCCUGGUGUAGGAGCUCUGUUUUGGAUAAUCUUACCAAGUCACUUUCUUAUUGUGAAUAUGACCUCAAGUUGUAUUUACGGGCAAAGGUGACUUCUAUUCUGGAAAUUUUUACUUCCUCUUACAUGUGGAUUAUGUCUGUUGUUUCGGUCGCUGGUUUUUUCUUCAAUUUGGUUGGUUAGUUGUCACGUAUCAUCUCAUCUUCACUCAUUCUUUGAUUUUUGUUGGUUGUUUAAUGUUAUGUAAGUUCACUGCUCAAUUUGGUUGGUUUCAUCUCAUUUAGUUUCUGCUUAAGUUCACUGUUCAAAGAAACAAUCAUCCUCUGUAUAAGAACGUUUCUCACCUAUACGUUACUCUGUUCAAUCUGUGCUUUAUGACAUACAUUAGUAUUAAACUAUUAAUAAAGCGGUUCCUUGAUAGGAUGUGUACUGUAGACCUUUCCCAAUAGUUUCUUAAUUUUUAGAAUUUUUAGAAUGCAAUAAUCGUAGCUGUAACUUCACAGGUUGCUGCGAGUGUAAUCACUGCCCAUGUGAUGGUGAACUUAGCAAAUGGUGAUGCAGGAAGUGUGUCUGUGUCAUUACUUGAGAAGUCCAGCAUCCUGUCAAAUAAGGUUUGAUCCUUUCUUGAUUGUAUUACUUAAUUCGUAACUAAAUAUGAUUGUAUGCUGAUAAACCCAUUAAGAGCUCAGUUUAAUUUCUAAUUUCAUCAAUUCUCUAAUUUAAUACUUUCCUUAUAGUAUUGAGAUUGUAAAGUUUGCAUCAUAUCUGAUUGUUAUCUUUUUUCUUUCCCUUCAUUGGCAGUUCAGAAGUCUUCCUGCUUUUUCUGAAUUGUUAGCUCAAUACUCACAGCAUGGUUACAGGUAAUAUGUGUGUUAUUGUUAAUUUCUGUUGGAAUUUCUAUGUUUAACUGUGCACUUCUUGUGCGAAGCAUUUGUAUGUCUGGAAACUGAUAUUAUACCCUUCCCUGAAGAUUCUGGAUUUUUACAAGUGCUCCUUCCAGUAAAUGUAUUCUUAUAGUGAGAAAACAGUUCUUCCUAUGAUAUGAUUGAUAUGUGAAACUUUAGUUUCGAGUCCUGGAAGUUACCAGAGUAUAAAGUAAGGAUUUAAAUACAGAACCUUGGAAGAGGUAUCUGAUGCUUUGGUCAAGCAGUACUCUUGUCUCUUGCCUGUGUUCAUAUUCCCUGUAUGUCGGUUGACUACUGAUUACCAGUCCAUUUUCUGGUUUCAAGAGUCAUGUUUGGCUCUUUUUGUGUGUGUGUGGUCACCUCCGUCCAUGUGCAUGUAAGUUGUAACAGUGAUUCUUCAUGUUGUUAUCACCUUAUAUGAUGGGCAUCCCCCAUGACGUGCUGUUGCUUGCCUUAUUUCCAUUGACCUUGAAGUUGAUCUGUUUUCUAGCCUUUGACAGACCAUCUAAGUGGUGACAUGUAACCAUUAGUUUGGGUGGAUUCAAUUUGCAUAGGGUUUAACAGAUAAUUUGAUCUGUAGUUUAUUCUGUUUCACAUAUUGAUCUUUUAAUUACAUAUGUUAUCUCUCAUAUGAAUUUGUUGAGAGUUUUAUCCCACAUCGGGAAAUGGAAGCAAUAAAUGACACAUGUUGUGCAUUUGGCUGCAUAUGAAGAAUUUAUUAUCUUUUUCCAGUGCAGGGAAGGAGCCAAACUAUUUGAUUCUCAGUGAUCUUUAUUAUCAUCUACAAGGAGAGCUUGAAGGCCGUGAAGUCAGUGCUGGACCAUUCAAAGAACUCUCUCUGUUCCUUAUAGAAUCAAAUGUUUUUCAGAUUUACCAACAUAAAUAUGAUGCUGAUCUUUUUGUAACCGGAAAAGAUGCAUACUUGUUUGAUCUUAAACGUGUACGAGCUGAUUUGGGGUUAGAUCUUUGGGAUUAUUCAAAGUGGAAGGCAUCAAAGGCGACUGCAGAAACAAUGUUGAAUCACAUGAAGGCUGCAAACUCAAUGGCGUUGCUUACAAGUUCAAAGCUUUCUGCACUAAGAGCAUUAAGAAGUGUCUUGACUGUGUACGCGGAUGAUGUGAGUUCUCUCUUAGACUUUGUAAUUGCUUUAAGUUGCGUUUUCAUAGUUAGAAAUUCGAUAUCUGUAGCUGCUUUUUAUGGUUCAAGAUAUUUUAAGGAUCAUGUAGAUGUAUAUAAUGGUUUAAAAUACUUUAAAUUUAAUGUUAGUUAUAAAAAAAAAAAAGUUGAUGUCUAAUAUUUCAAAUAUCUGAUUUCUCAUUUCAAAGUUUUUGAAAGUUAAGCAGUAUUAGUGAUAGCUCAGUUGAUGAACACUGUGCUGCACCUAUGCCAUGUCUAAUUAGGGUGCCGAAGAAUGAAGUAAAAACACUAGGACCUAGAGCUAGAGGUUCAACCCUCAUGAUAUAUCAAGUUUCCUAUUGUCAAAACCGGGUAUGAAUGGUAAAAGCAUUUAAUUGUACCUGAGGAAUACUGAUUUUAUUUUGAAAUACUCCGGUAACUUCUAUCCAUUUUCUAAUGAGUGACGAAGUCAUUGCAUUCCAUCUAAUCAAGAAUACGAUACGAAAAACUGAGUUGUUGAGAUUUUUACAUAUAGUGAAGGCCCCAAUAUUGUGUUGGAAGAAAUCACAUGAUCUAAGCAUCCUGCUUUCAGCAGUGGGCAUCUAAAUGCUGAUUAGUGUGGUUUGUGGGCUGUUGUAUGGCUUUAUUUAUCAUGGUUUUUUUUUUUUCUUGCUUUAGAAAAUGCCUUAUUCUUUUUUGAAAUUAAUUCACGUGUACCUGCUACUGCAGUCACUGGAGACGAAAAGUACAGCGAAAGAGAUCUCUGAUCAACUUGUUUUCUCAUGCAUCAAUCACAUAUGCCAGAGCUUCCAUGACACAGUAGAAUCAUUGGCUUCAUUACCUGGUGCUCCUGAAGAUAUCUUUCACUACCUUUCAGCUCAAGCAGAGUUGCUUCUCUAUCUUAUGAUGUAUGCACAUAAAAGCCUGCCUUUGUCUGUUUGCAUUCUUGUACUAAAAACAUCAGGUUCUGGCCUUAAAGUGUUGAGUGAUUUCAGAGCAUUAGUUACCGGGCCAGCAGUUAUGGGGGUUAACACUACCGUAAAGCUCUUGCUUAUGUUGCUUCUCUCGGCGGUGGAGUUUAGUUGUCGUAAGUCACAUUUGGUUGGGGCAAGAGAUAUAAUAUCUGUUGAAGAACUGGCUAAAAUAUCUAACGUGAGUCUUGGUCUACUACCAAUUCUCUGUAACUGUAUGGCUAUUGUUGAGCAUGGCACCCUCUCCCUAACUACUAUGGACUUGAUACUGAGAAAUUUCUUAACUCCCAACACUUGGUUCCCCAUUAUACAAAAUCACCUCCAGCUUCAGCAUCUUAUUCUGAAGCUUCAAGAUAAGAACUCACUUGACUCUGUGCCCAUUAUAAUUAAGUUCUUUUUGACUGUUGCCCGUGUGAGGCAGGGUGCAGAAAUGCUUAUUAAUUAUGGGUUUCUUUCGUCUCUGAGACUCUUGUUCGCUGAGUACUUGGAAGGUAGGUCUUCUUCCGUUAGUACUAAUAAGAGAAAUCCCAACUCAACUGAAAAAACUGAGAAGCCUCAGCAAAUUUGGGGACUUGGUUUGGCAGUCAUCACAGCUAUGGUUCAGUCUUUAGGAGACAGUUCUGCUUGUUCUGAUGUUGUGGAGAAUGUAAUACCCUACAUCUUUUCAGAGAAAGCCUAUAUGAUUUCUUACUAUCUCAGUGCUCCAGACUUCCCAUCUGAUGGUCAUGACAAGAAAAGACCUCGGGCUCAGCAGAGACAAACUUCUCUUACUGAUCUUAAAGAAACUGAGCACACUCUCAUGCUGAUGUGCGUGCUAGCAAAACAUUGGAAUUCAUGGGUUAAGGCCAUGAAAGAAAUGGACUCCCAGCUGAGAGAGAAAAGUAUCCAUCUUUUGGCCUUUGUCAGCCGGGGAACUCAACGCCUUGGAGAAUCUUCGAGUCUUAGUGCUCCUCUUGUAUGCCCUCCUAUCCUUAAAGAGGAAUUCGAUGGCUGCAAGAAACCCUCAUUUGUUAACAGUAGAAGCGGAUGGUUUGCUCUUUCACCGCUCAGUUGUGUGUCAAAACCAAAAUUUUCAGCCGUCUCUACCACAACUGCGCUGGCUAUUAAAACUCAAUCAACUGAAAAUAGUGAUCACGUAUCUCAGUCAUACUUCUCCGACACUAUUGCCCUUCAGAUAUACAGAAUUACUUUUCUUCUUUUGAAGUUCCUCUGUUUACAAGCUGAGGGUGCUGCUAGAAGGGCAGAGGAGGUUGGGUUUGUUGAUCUUGACCAUUUUCCUGAGCUUCCAAUGCCCGAAAUCUUGCAUGGCUUACAAGUAAGAUGACAAUUUUUAUUAUUUAAUUAGUUUUUAUUUUGCUAAUCUUUUAAGAUCUUGAGAUGUCUCAAGGUGUGGCUUUGAUUUGUUUAAUUAUGCAAAAAAUAUCUGGUCUUCCAAAUACUUAAAAUUAAGUUUCGAGGCGACUUUCGUUUUGAGUUGGAUAUGUUAUUUCUGAUGUAGGAUCAAGCAAUUACCAUUGUUACAGAGCUGUGUGGGGAUAAAAGAUCAAAUGAGAUUCAAAUUGAAGUGCAGAGUAUCUGUUGCUUAUUGCUACAAAUAAUGGAGAUGGCCUUGCACUUGGAACUUUGUGUUCUACAAAUAUGCGGCAUAAGACCUGUGUUAGGGCGUGUGGAAGAUUUUUCAAAGGAAGUUAAACUGUUAAUAAAAGGUGAACUCCAUUCAUUCUGCAUACAUGUUUUGUCACCUUUUUUUUAAAUGGUAGUUCUUCAACAUUUAACGAAUGGUUUUUUCCUUAUAAUGUACUUUGUAGCGAUGGAGAGACAUGCUUUCCUCAAAUCAUCUGUGAAGUCCUUGAAACAAAUAACGUCGGUUAUCUAUCCCGGAUUGUUACAGGCCGAAGAGUUUUUGUGAGAUAAAUUCUUGUGCAUAUAGGUGAAAACUGAAAACUGUAGGCUUUGGAAGAAAAAUGUAAAAACUAGUGUGUAUUGCUUACAUCAAUGGCUUUAGAAAUAUUCCGCAGGCUUAUAAAAUUAUCCCAUUCCUUUCAGCCAUUCCUUUUGUAUAUAUUUUCUUUUGAGAAAAGGUUGUGGCUCUAUGAUUGAGAAGAUUUCUAAAAUCCGUGGCAAUUCAUGAUUGUCGCGUGAGAAUUCCCUUUCCUUCACUUUCCCAAGCAAAAGGUCCCUUAUAGGUAUUAGAUAUCUAUCAUUGCUUUUAUGCAUUAGUGGGACCUAUGAUUUCUUCAUAGUGAAAUGCAUGUAAUUUUCAGAUCCAAUUCGAAUUUAAUAAAUUACUUUAGUGUUUAGGGUAGUCGCUCUCGUGGGUGACUCUCGGUUGUUGAUGCAUGUGCAUUAGCGGGAUGUGAUCACCCGUAAGUUCGUAAGCAACUGUCCGUAGCAUUUCAUAAGUCUACUUUCUCUCCAUGUUGUUGCAUCCCUAUUCUCGACCCAAAGAAGAAAGAAAAAUUGAUGGCACCAACGAAAAGAAUUUUUCCGGUCCCUACAAAAAAUGGCAUAUGAUCACAAGUUCUGAGCUCCAAGCUCCAUAACCCAUAUACCCAUUGUUUUGCUUAUGAAUGAUGAUCUGUCAAUUGGAAGAUAAUCAGAAGGUGAAUCCCCACAACUUUACUAAAGUAAGUGUGCUUCCUCUUUUAGAGAAUAAUGAUCCUCCAGGACUAUAUGAUUUCACUGAUUUGUUGAUUUUUAUUUCAUAAUUAAGAAAAUUUUAUAUUAUUUUCCGCAUGGAAUAAAGAGCAAAUUAAAUUAAUUAAUCCAAUGGUUGUCAUUCGUCCUUCAAUCCACAUUUCCUAAGUUGGACCAAGUGAACGGGUCCAAUUCAUGGAUCGAUGGACCGGGCAUCCAUCCAUGAUCCAUGGAUACAUAUAUAUUUAUUAAUUUAUUUUUCCUUCGGAAAAAUAAAUAAUAUAAAAAUUAGUCCUCAUGAUCCGUAAUUUAAGAUCUUUUUGGCUUUAUGUGUAUGUCGGCAUCUGAAUCCUUGCGAAAUCCAGACCGUUGGAUCUGCGUCAGAGGGUAAGUAAAAAUCAGUAAAAUUGUCAGUGUUUCACCUUUUAUUUAAUACCAUGUGUGCCAUCCAAGUGUUUACCAAAUCCACAACGUGGUCCAAACGGUGUCGUUUAUUUCCCCCAAAAAGUCCACGAACCCUAAUACCCUAUCCGAAUAAUGACAAGCAUAUACCAGUACACAACCACUUCACUCAGCCUCGGAUCCCAAAACCUAACCCUGGUUAAAACCCGACCCAACCACGGUUAACUCAUACCCCGUCAGAUUCAACCCACGUGCCUUCAUCCAACGGCUGAAAACAACUUGCCAUAGAUAUUCACCUCAGAGGCCCUUUUAUAAACCCCUUGUCCUCGUGACCUCGUCCACGCAUCGCAAACCCUAAGCAUCAUCACUCUCGUUUUCCUCAAAUCUCUUCGUGAACGAUCCAAACAAAACCUCGAAAUUCUCAUCAAUGGCUUCAAACCCUAAGGUCUUCUUCGACAUGACGAUCGGAGGCCAGCCUGCCGGCCGCAUCGUCAUGGAGCUCUUCGCCGACACCACCCCCCGCACCGCCGAGAACUUCAGGGCUCUCUGCACCGGAGAGAAGGGCGCUGGCCGCAGCGGCAAGCCCCUGCACUACAAGGGCUCCUCCUUCCACCGAGUGAUCCCAGGGUUCAUGUGCCAGGGAGGUGACUUCACCGCCGGAAACGGCACCGGAGGCGAGUCGAUCUACGGCGCCAAGUUCGCCGAUGAGAACUUCAUCAAGAAGCACACCGGACCUGGAAUUCUGUCCAUGGCCAACGCUGGUCCCGGGACCAACGGAUCUCAGUUCUUCGUCUGCACGGCCAAGACCGAGUGGCUCGACGGCAAGCACGUCGUGUUCGGUCAAGUGACCGAGGGGCUCGAUGUUGUGAAGAACAUCGAGAAGGUUGGGUCGAGCUCCGGCAGGACCUCCAGGCCAGUGGUGGUUGCUGACUGCGGCCAGCUCUCCUAGACGAGUCCGUUUACUCGGUGCUCUGACGAUGAUGGAAACGUCAUCGUUUAUCUCUCUGUUAUUAUGAGUCGGUCUGCCUUUACUUUUUCGAAUUUCGGUUUUUAGUAGGCUGGGGUCUGAUUAGGGUUUGGUUUAUGGACCUUAUUAUUAUCACUAUGGUCGUCUUCCUUUUUUUUUUGGAUGUCUAAUUGCUCUGCUGUUUCUGAUCUGAGACUCUUAUUUUGUGAUAAACUGAGCUGUUAUCCUUAAAUAAAAUAGGUUUUAUUCUCCAAUUGUUUAUCUUAUUUUCUUUAUUUUUCAUUUCAAUUUUUUAUUCUAUAAUUGCCUAAUGCCUCUAAGUAUUAUUGUGCUCGUGUUUCAUCUUAAGUGAUUAAAAGUAUAUUUAUUUAUUUAUUUCGUAUUCAAUUUAUUGUUGUGCCCGCAUUUGAUUUAAGUCAAGUGUGAUUAAGAGCGUUUAUCUUAUAUUAUUGAUUAAAAAUUAUAUAAAUAUCAAAUGUAAAAGAAAAGGUCAAUAAAUGGGAAUGGUCAAAGUUAUACCUAUUUAUCCGAAUAUUUCCUGCCAAGUCGUUUUGGGAUAUUUUGGGCCACUUGGGAUUUUAGGCCCCGUUGAUGCACCCUUGGGUUUGGACUGAUCGGCUUGUUGCUACUUUUUGUAAACGUGUAAUUUGUUGUUUGCUAUCUUUUUACGCUUGUGUUUUCAAGAGAGAGAAAAUUUGGAUUUGUAUAGUGAUGGAUAAAGCCUUUGUGAUUCUUGAGCCACCACCACUUGCCGCGUAUGUGGCAUUGUACAAGGGAAUUUUGUGUGCAUGCGUUUUCUGUUUUCUUUGCAUGAGGAUAUGCUCUUCUCAUUCCAAAAUUUUAUAUUUUUGUGGUUCUAGAAAGAAAAGAAUUUUGUUUAGUCAUCGUAUGUGUUUUGCGUUCCUAUAAAUCUUUGGUCACGUCGCCUCAUCAUCCAGUUUGUUUGAUGCCCGGCUAACCUCACAAAAGUUUUAUCUUUGGUUAUGUCAACUCAUAAAACAAAGAUAUUCCCGUUUCACAUAAGUUUUUCUCACACUCAACGUCCUCGUUGGAUUUGCUUAGUCGCUUUAGUGGGCCAAUGAAGUAGUGACUUAAAAAAGUAUUUAACUUUGGUUAGCGUAACAAACUCCCUUAACAUUAGAACCAUUUACUCACAUCACAGCCAAAUUAUCUAGACAAAGAGGCAAAAUCUUCCAACUAUCUCCAGGAUUCAUAAACAAAGCAUCUCCUACAUUAUAGGUUCGCUUAACGCAGUCCCCAAGGCCCAAUGGGAUGAUCUUCAUUCCACAACUUGAAAAGGUUUUUUCAUUCCAAUGGGGGAACUGUUCUUUCCUUGAUCGAAAGAAAAAGGUUCAGCAAACCUUAUUAAGAAAACACUGACUACAAAACUCAUCAGCCUUGGCAGGCUAAGAGAGAUGAAGAUAUUGGGUAUGAGGUAGUAGAAGAAUUUGUCACGUGAGGAGAGAGAUAUAGAUUAUUGUAUAAGAAGUUCCUUCCUCCAACGUUGUAUCGGCAAAACCUAUGUUUUAGGAUGCAUCUUAAUUAACCUUCCUCUAACAUUGUACAAUUAGGAAGCUUCCUUCUCCUUGGCUUUGCCCCCCUUAGCUUUCUGCCGAUGAUUUACACUUGAUUCAUUGUCUUAUUGUCCUUAAUGGAAUUCUUCAUAAGGUUAAAAUUGUCAAACAGUAAAGUACAUCUACAAAUUAUAUGGAUAGUUUCCAUUCAAUACCUGCAGAUUUUUUCUUUUUGUAAUAAAUGAAAUAGGGGAAAAAACCAAAUAAUUUUGGGAUGAUGCGCAUAUAUCUAAAUUUGUUAAUAUUUUUUUCUUCUCAGCUUUUCAUAAAAUCAAAUAUAUGAUUUGUGCUAUUUGUUUUACUAUUUUCAAGAAAAAAAAGAGGGAGACAGAAAAAAGAGACAUUUCUCUCUCUUUCUCCCACAUCCCAACCCCACCCGCCCCAAAACACAUCGCAUAGGACCCCACUCUCCCCACUUAUCUCUAUAUCUGUUUCUCUCUCACAACAAAUUUUCAAUAUACAAAUGGAAAAAUACCAAAAAGAAAAAAUAAUAAGAAAAAGGCAGAGUCGGAUUGGGUAGGCUGAUGAAAUUUGUGUGUGAAGGGUUGGUGUUCCAUGGUUGAGAAAGAAGGAGGAAGGGACUGCGAAGAGGGAAGGGGGAAUGGAUUUCAAGGUGGUUGGAGCCGGGCCACAUAUGGGAUGGGGGAAGGUGAGAAUUUUUUUUAAAUACAAUUUUUUUAUAUAAUCAUUUUUCCAUUUUUAAAAUACUCUUGAAAAUGGAAAGACUGAAAUACCCUUUAAAAUAGCUGAAAAAUUGAAUGGUGUUAAACCUAGAUGACAAAUAAUGGAUUUUGAAAAAUUAAAGUGAUAUUUUUCUUAAAUUUUUCUUUAAUGUGACAAAUUAAAAUUGAGGUAUAAAUUCAGGUGACAUUUCUAAAAAAUAAUACACCUCCAUCGAUAAUGUGAGAAUUACAAGAGCGCAUGAGUAACGCUUUUUAUAAAUGAUCAACUACCUAAUGCAAAUGUAAAAUAAAAUUCUUUAGAUUGAAAAUUGUGCCUUGUUUUAAAUGUUUUUCUUUAAAAUUUUGGUUUAGUAUAUAAACCAAAUUACUAUCCAUAGCAGAGUAUAUUUGCAAAUCCCAUAAUACUAAUUUCUUACAUUUGACGCAGAUAAGGUCAUCCAUCAUUCUUUUUUUUUUUUUGGGGUGAAAUUAGCUAAAAUAGUUAUUUUUCAUAAAUUCUAAUAUUCUAUACUAAAAUAGCCUAUUUUGCAUUAAAGAGGUUACUAUAUAAACAAUAAAGAAGAAACUAUACGGAUAACAAAAAGACACUAUAUAAAUCAAAGCUAUUAUAGAAUAAAAGUCAUGAAAAAUGACUAUUUUUUUUUUAGCACAAACGCCUUGAUUUUUCCAGACAUGACGUGGUGCCAAUUUUAUAUUUUAUAUUUUUUUAAACUUUCCCACUUCCAAUUUUCCUAAUGUCCAAACAGCAACAGAAAGAGUUACAGAGAAAAGUAAAAGUCCAAACUCCAGGGCAAUCUUGGCGCAUAAGCUGUCAUCCCGCUGAUUCACGUGACUCAACUUUAACAACAGAAAAAUCCAAUCUACCCUGUUGCCCACGUGGCACUCUCCAGAUGAGCUGAGGGUACUAUCGUCAUUUCAAGAAAAGUAGAAAACCAUAGCCAAUAGAAUCAGAUCCCGCACAUUGGUGUAGCGAGCGCGCGAAGCACUGGAUUGUUACCUCCGUCCGUACUGCCACGGGAAGCUUCCGACUAGACGACGGGCUCAAGCGUGUUUCUUCGUGUUGAGAGAGAGAAACGAGAUCUCUCUCUCUCUCUCUGAAAGCUUCAGAGGGUGUAUUGCAAUUUACAGAGAGGGAGAGAGGUACAACUUGUUCAACUCUGGUUGGCGGGAAUUCGAAAUUCUAGAGAGAGAGAUGGGGGUGUCAGAGAAUACGAAGGGGCUGAUACUAGCGAUGGCGUCGAGCGCCUUCAUAGGCGCGAGCUUCAUCUUGAAGAAGAAGGGUCUCAAGCGCGCUGGAGCUGCCGGUACUCGAGCAGGUCAUUUUUACUCUUACAUGAAUUCUGGGUUCUAUUCUUUUAGUUUAUUUUCAAUGUCAAUGCCAUUGGCACAUUAGCAUUUCCCUUUUUUGGAUGGUUGAGGUUGGAAAUUGGAGUAAAUUACAAAGAUUUAACCAAAAGAUUCAAUUUUUGAAAUUAAUUAUGUGUUUGAUGAUUGAUAGGUUCCAGAAUCCAAACUGCUAAUUCAUGGUUUUGAUUGUUUUUUGAUUAUUUAAUAAGUUGCCAUGUGAUUGAUUUGUUGUACAUCUUUGAUUUGGGUAAUUGAAAAUCUGUGUCUUUUGAGUUGUGCAGGAGUUGGUGGUUAUACUUACUUACUAGAGCCACUUUGGUGGGCGGGCAUGAUCACCAGUAAGUACAGCUCUCUCUUUCUCUACAGAAAAUGUAUGUGACUGAAACGAUAAGUACACGUGAGUUAUUGAUAUUUGGUUUUGAAUUUUUUCAACUGGGUAGUGAUUGGUGGAGAGGUUGCCAAUUUUGUGGCUUAUGUAUAUGCUCCAGCAGUUCUUGUAACCCCACUUGGUGCACUGAGUAUAAUAGUCAGGUAAAUGCUCUUCUGUCUGAGUUCAUUUCGUUGCUGAUUUCUGAUAAAAAGAAGGUAUUGUUUAAAAGCUUUUGUUACCAACUUGCAUGUUUGUUGGAUUUGUCUAGUGCUGUUUUGGCUCACUUCUUGUUGAAGGAACGAAUACAGAAAAUGGGUAUUGUGGGAUGUGUUACCUGCAUCGUGGGAUCAGUGGUAAUUGUGAUCCAUGCACCUCAAGAGCAUAUUCUAAAUUCUGUACAGGAAAUCUGGGUUCUGGCGACCCAACCAGGUUCAUGACUUUAAACCUCAUAUUUCUUCUUCUUCUUCUUCUUCUUCAAUGCUACUUGUCUUAGAACCUUCAUUGUGUUGUCCUGAAAAAUUACUUUUUUUUUUUUUUUUUCCCACAGCUUUUCUGGUUUACGUUGCUGCUACACUUUCCCUAGUGUUAACUUUGGUUUUGCAUUUUGAACCUCACUAUGGGCAAACAAAUAUACUAGUCUACUUGGGAAUCUGUUCCUUGAUGGGUUCACUUACGGUAACUAUGCUUUUCUAGUUUGCCAAGUACAAAUAGGCACUUUGUUCCUCUAUGUCUUAUGUGUUCAAAUUGUUAGGUGUUUAGCUGUGUACCUCUGCUGUGCUACUUCAGGUUGUAAGCAUAAAGGCCAUUGGAAUUGCAAUAAAGCUAACUCUUGAGGGAGUAAGUCAGAUAGCCUAUCCUCAGACUUGGUUUUUUCUGACUGUUGCAGUAAUCUGCGUAGUUACACAGUUGAAUUACCUCAACAAGGUCAGUAUUGCGCUAUUAAUUUUGGUCUCUUUCUCCGAGACUAUCAUCAUUGGCGUUUUAUGUGCUGACUAGCCGUUUUGUGCUAAAAAUCUGUGCCCCACCUGCACUGCCUAUUCAGCAUUUGGUUUCUCAGAUUCUGAUUUGCCCAUUUGUUACAUAUUGACUCCAAUGAGUUCCUAGCCUAUAAAGGAGGGGACAGUAAUGCAUUCUGCCUCUGUCAUAUAACUUGUAAAUAUAAUAACACUGGAUCAAAUCUCAAGCACACAGUAUUUCCAUUGUAAUAAGUUUGGAAAUUUCUCAAAAUCUGAAAAUUUAGUUAUUGAAAUUGGAAAGUAAGUUUAAGUUGGUCUACUUUAUUUAAAAAUUGAACUUUAAGUAUCACGUGCUGCUUAGACAGUAAUCUUGUUAGUACUUCAAUUCAGCCAUCUUUUAACUCAGACUUUCAUGGACUUCAAAUUAUAAUAAUUACCUGCUGAAUCUCACAUCAUUCAAGUUCAUGGCCGCUUUGUUUCAGGCUUUGGAUACAUUCAAUGCAGCAAUUGUUGCCCCAGUAUAUUAUGUGAUGUUCACAACUCUGACCAUUAUUGCUAGUGUAAUAAUGUUCAAGGUAGAUUGCUUGAUCUAUAUACUGUGGUUUUCUUCUGAUGCCUUUAUUGGUUGUUUUCAUGCAAUUACAAAGACUUGGGAUUCUGAAUUUCCCGUUGUUUUCUAUGUUCAAUGCAGGAUUGGUCUGGUCAGGAUGUAAGCAGCAUAGCCUCUGAAAUAUGUGGAUUCAUCACUGUUCUGUCAGGAACUAUCAUACUCCAUGCAACCAAAAAUGAGGAAACAUCUACACAAGGUAUACAUGGACUUUGCAUCCUUCUAUUAUCUGGGAUUUGGGGUUUUUAUUAUCUCCUUUAAAUUCAGAUCAACAUGACAAUUGAAAAUUCUUAUAAGAUGAUUGAGAAUAAAACAGAUGCAUGUUAAAUUUGAUCCCAAGAGACCUUCAUUUUCCUCUUGAUCAGGAUACUAAUUUACAAUGUUCCAUGCCUACUCAGUUGCAAUCCCAUCAUUAAGUAUUGGUUAGACUGAGGGGCAUAUUUACACUUAUGGUUGGCUGUAACAUUUACUAUCUUUGCUUAUGGCUGCUUACAGUAGUUUUUCUUUUCAUAGCAGGAACUGUAACAUGGUACAUUAGAGAUUCAAUGAAGGGCUCUGAAGAUGAACGUUUGCUCACCUUACACAAUUCAGAUUAUCCUGAACCGUAACCCUGCAACAAUCAUCUUGGAGAAUGAAAUCCCCAGCAAUGAAGCUGCACUGCAACAAUCAUUUUGAGUAGGGGUGAGUCUUUGGGUAUCUAGCACAUUGCUCAUUACACCUUCCAAAUACCCGUUUACUCCUAUUCAUUUAAAAGAAAUUGGCCUCCCCUCCCCUCCCCCAGUUGGACAUUUCCAUGGCCUAAGACCAGCCAUAGCUAGUCUUUUUUUUUAUAUAAAUUCUUUCUUCUUUUUGGAUAUGAAAUGAUUUGGGAUAUAAUGAAAAAGUAAAUGAAUUUUUUUAGGGACAGGUUGCAGCAAUGUGUUGGGUGCCAUUAGCCUCACUUUGAGUAGUGUUUGUAGUGUUGGGUGCUCCCGGUUUCUUCUAGACAGACCUUGGGGCUUUUAGCAGAUUGCAAAAGUUACUUUUUAUGUGCCUUUCUUCACCAGCCAGCAGAUGCGACCCUCAACCGGAUGCUCAAAUUAAAUUGAAGUGCGAGGUGUGGCACCACUCUCAAUGCUAAGUUCUGAAUCACCCUCAGCUCGGGAAUGGUGCUGCAGUUCUGUAUCAAUACCAGUGCAUAGAGAUAUUUGUUGUGAUUUUGGCAAUGCUGAGUCUCUCCAUGGCUGCUGAUGGCAUCUGUACAUAUCGAUGCUCGGCUUCUCAUUCACUAGUUUUCGUGCAUGAUUCUUCUUGAUAUCUGAUUCAGUUUGAUUCUCUCUUUUUCUUUCUAGUUUGUAUAUAUUUUUUCUUAUAGAUGUCUUUCUAGUUUGUAUUAGUCCUUUUUUCCUUGGUUAAGAAAAUCUACAGUUCAUAUUGGGAUUGAUAGAUCAUAGAACACACAGCUGAGAGGUAUAUUUGCCAAUUAAUGGGCAAAUACUGCUUGGGAAUUGUAUAUCUUGUAUUUAACUCUUGAGUUUUUGCUUUUGCUGUCAAUGAAUUCGGUUGGUAUAAUGGCAAAUAAACUGUACACUUUAUUACACAGUAAACCAUAAAUUAUAUGAUUCAUAGAAUCUUUCUUCAAUGAUCAAAAUUUAACCUUCUUUUUUUUGCCGGGAUGUUCCAAAUUUAACUCGAAUGUUGAGAUUGUGCAAUAUUUUACUAUUUAAGCAAUGAAAUCUUCCAAAUUGCUUAGCCAGAAAAGAAAUAAUAAAUAGUUUAAUUACAAGAUAAUUUCAAAAUUAAAAAACGUGAAAUUCCUUUUAUUGGGAAAAUAAGAUUCUAGUCAUGAGUUCAUAACGUAAUAUGAUCUGAUGAUGCUAUAAAAUAAAGCCGGUUUAAGAUUGAGAGAUUUAUUAAUAAUUUGGUUUGGAUGGAUGAUUACUGAAAGCUAACCUUUUUCUUCUUGUUUUUGUUUUUGUUUUUAUGGAUAUAAAGUCGUCUAAAAGUUGUUUUCGUAUCAUAAUUCUAAUUCAUUUCUUAAGUUCUCUUAUCACUAAACUAAUUCGAAGUUACAUCGAAAUUCCCAGCUUAAUUCUAACACAUUUUUUACUAUUCAAAAUUGCCUAGUCUAAUUCUAACUCAUUUCUUACUGCAAUUAUAACUCCUCUAUAACUGAUUUACUAUUGGUAAUUAGUAAGGUUUUAGAGUUCCUCAAAAUCAUUAUUGAAAAAAAAAAAACAAAGUCAGAUUCCCUCUCCAGAUCAAAAAAGAGAAGAGAGAGAUUCUCUCUCUGAUAAGGAAAAUCAUAAACUUCAAUCUCCACCGUCGGAUCAAAUUCUCUUCCCUACCCUAUAUAUUCGUAACCCCCUCUUCGCUUCUCAACAACGCAACGCUUCGCCAAAAAAUCCAUCCUUUGCGCAAAAACAAAAGGAGAGACCUUUUCAUCGCAGCACACAGUAACCACAACCAUGGCGGCAACAGUGUCUCCUUGGGCCAAACCUGGCGCUUGGGCCCUCGCCGCCGAAGAGCAGGACGCCGAGCUCGAACAAGAAACCCAAAACGCACGACACGUCGUUGAGCCGCCCUCCGCCGACUACCCAUCUUUGUCUGUAGCCGCCACCGCCAAGCCCAAGAAGAAGAACAAGGGCCAGAAAAUCUCCCUCGCCGAGUUCACGGCCUUCGGCGCGCCCAAGCCCGUGGCCCAGCCCGAGGGCCUCACCCAUCAGGACCGCAUGCAUCUCCCGACCGGUCCGCGCGAGCGAACCGCCGAGGAGCUCGACAGGAAUCGGCUCGGCGGCGGGUUCAGGUCCUAUGGGUCUGAUCGGGGAAACAGCAGGUUUUCCAACGGCGAAGAGUCGUCGGAUUCGAAGUGGGGUUCGGGACAGAGGAGGGAAGGUGGAUUUGGGAAGGAAUCGAACCGCGAUGGGCCUUCCAGGGCCGACGAGAUUGAUGAUUGGGGCGCUGCGAAGAAAUCGACUGUGGGAAAUGGGUUUGAGAGGAGGGAGAGAGGAGCAGGAGGUAGUUUCUUUGGUGGGUCACAGUCGAAGGCUGAUGAAUCGGACAGUUGGGUAUCCAAUAAGAGCUCUGUGUCGUCGGAGGGACGGAGAUUCGGUGCUUCCGGUGGUGGGUUCGAUCGGGAGAGGAAAGUGGGGUUCACAUCUGAUGGAGGUGCUGAUUCUGAUAAUUGGGGGAGGAAGAAGGAGGAGAGUAAUGGUGGGUCUGGUUUUGAUCGAGAAAGAAGAGUUGGGUUCGUGUCCAAUGGUGGUGGUGCUGAUUCUGAGGUUUGGGGGAAGAAGAAGGAGGAGAGUAAUGGUGGUCUGAGUGAGAGUACUGGAAGGCCGAGGCUCAAUUUGCAGCCGAGGACACUGCCUGUGAGCAACGAGACCUCACCUGGGUCGACGACAGUACCGAAGUCCAAGGGCUCAAACCCGUUUGGUGAGGCGAGGCCAAGAGAGGAGGUGUUGGCAGAGAAGGGGAAGGACUGGAAAAAGAUUGAUGAGGAGCUCGAGUCGGUGAAGAUUAAGGAGGUGGCUGAGAGAGACCACUCGCCCUCGUUUGGGAAGAGGAGUUUUGGGAUAGGAAAUGGGCGUGCCGGUGAUCGAACUGAGAGAGCUUGGAGGAAGCCUGAUGUGGCAGAUGCUCGUCCCCAGAGGUUUGUUGUUUCAGUCAUAUGAUUGAUUGAUUGGGUAUAUCAAUCGCUAGUAAUUAGAAUGCUUAGUUGUAAAGUCUGAUGCCUUUGAUAUUUCUACGUUGAACUUGAUUGCAUGGAUUUUCUUAGCUAUGUUAAUUGGAAAGAUGCAUUGUUGAUAGAAUUGGUUUCAGUUAGUUAUAGGAAAGUUUGCUUGAUGGAACAGUGAAUUAGCAUAUUGGUUGUAUGUAUGUGUGUGUGUGUCUUUCAGUUUUAACCUUUUCAUAAGGGGUUUGUCAACCUUGUGGGGGAGAUGCUGAGCAUUGAUGGUUUACAUUUGUGUCCAAAAGGAAGCUUCUUGAGGUUUCUGUAUUAAAAAGAAAUUCACUUUGCCGAGCAUUACUUGUUAUCUUAUUGAUAGGUCGAGUUUUACGAAAUACUUGGUGCUCUGAUGAAUUGCAAUUCACUUUUGAGGAUUCUUUAUGCCGUGUCUUUGUUUUGCCCUCUUAUCUUCUCAUGUGAAUACAUAGACAAGUUUAAAUUGGUGGCACUGCUAUCUCUUUAUUUUUGCCCUUGGGUAAUAUAUUUCUAAUUUGUUUGAUAAAACACCCUCCUUUUUCAUUUUCAACCUUAACCUUGGGAUAUUCUGAAGGCUGCACGUUCAUCUUUAGAUGUUUUUGCAAUUUUCCCUUCUGCUGUUUGACACAUACUACUAACCCUAACCCUGGCUGCUGCACAAGGAAAAAAAGUUGUUUUAUGUAUGUAUGUGUUAAAUAUGAAUAUUGGACUAGAAGGAUCUACCUGACUUGAAUGGAGCCAUUUAAAGUUAAAGGUUCAUGUAACCAUGGAUUUCUCUUUUAGUUUUUAGGGGUUAGUAACUUGUAAUGUGUGUGAUUAGACGUGCUUUCAACUAUUUGUUGCUAUUUUCAGGGUUUGUUAAAACUCUGAAACUAAUAGUUUUCGUUCGGUGCAGUGCUGAGGAAAAUGAGAGUAGGAGCAGUUCUUUGGAACCAGAGAAUGUAUGUUGAUGAGCUUGUUGACAGUCAUGUUGACGGGCAUGCUGAUGAGCAUGCUGAUGAGAAUUGAAGAGGCGUUUUACAAGUUUGGUGUAAGCCAUGGGAAAAGAUUUUAAGUUGAGCUGUUGGAUCCAUGAGGCUGUUGAAUUUUCAGUUUCAAUGAUUUGUGUUCUCGUCUGCGACUGUAAUACAUUGAACUUGAGACAAUUUUUGUAGGAUUUUAAAUAGCUAUACUAGUUUUGCCCGUAAGGCUUUGUUUGUAUGUUGUAUUUAAGAUUGAGAAAUACUUUAACUCUAAUUAUUAUUUUUGAUCCUUAAAUUCUGGUUCACACAUUUCAUGGUUGAAGAUUUUGGUGUGUUGUGCGUUUGAUGCUUCAUGGUUUUGCCUAUGUUCUCUGGAUAAUUUAUUUUGAUGCUUCAUGGUUUGCCUAUGUUCUUAGGGUAAGGGUCAGAAUUGGCUGAACUGGAAUUAAAGUUGCCUGUAGUUUCAAGUUACUGAUUUAUAGAAUGAAUCAUAUUUGUAAGCAAGUAGACUUUUGAUUGAAUCAUUUUUAGCAUGCAUUAUUCUGCUGUAGGUUCAAAAUUUCGUUGUGAGUAAUUGAUGUUGUAAUUGUUUUGGUAAAAAAAAGAGACGAGAAAACAUAUUGCGAAGGCUUAGUUUUCGGUUUUAUGAGCAAAGAAACUAUACAGAAGUUACAAUUCUGAUGACUCGGGAGAUUCUUGAAUGUCUUCAGUCGUAUAAUAGUAAUAGGGUAGAUUUUCUCCCACAAAAUAACGAAAAUGGCACACAGUUGACUGAUUAGAUGUCACCAGUUGUACAGAUUUUAUCCACAGGACGGCAAGGGCAUUGGCUGUGAGCCAACCAAAACUAGGGUUGUUAGGGCGUGCUUCUGUAACUGCUACAGAGCCACUGUCAUAAUUGCUUCUAGUGCCAAGCACUGCUACAGUUGCUCUGCUAUGCUACAACAACAAUGCAGGUCCAUGUUACACUGGUACGGAGUUUGGUUCAUCAUCAUGGGCCAAUAUUUUAAGUCCACUCUCUUAAUCCGAGUUUGAAUCUUCCUCUCUUAAUUAGUUUAAAUUAGAAUACCAACUUGUUAAAAAGAGAAAAAACUAGACUCAAGGCUGGCCCUAGGCCAUGUUCAAAGAGUUACACUACAGAAAACAAAAGUUCACCUUCUGCGUGUGCCUAGCCUAGCAAUAUGUCAUUAGACAAAUACAUCAAUUUUUGAGUAAGUAUGGGCACGAGAAAGAGGUUUGCAGACUUGUGUGAGGUGUAGUUGAAGAGCAUUAAAGAGAAGCCAUUACUUACUUCUCUGUCAUUGCACAUUAUGAAGCUCUAUCUCCUUAUAGGCCUUCCUCAUCAAUGCCUUUGCUACUUUGACGGCCAACAAAUACCCCCCCACCAGCAAAACCUUGGAGCCUUGAAGUCAUGUUUUUGGCUACAAACCGACCCACGUCUGCAAUAAUGGCAACAUAUGGGCUUCUUGCCUUCAAAAUCUUGGGAUAGGCACUACUCAUGUCCACAGUCUCUGUUUGCGUGGCAAAAUUAUUCUAAACUAAAAACUCCUGCCCUGCAGCUGCAGUUAAAGCUACGGCCGUAGACGAAAUAACAUGUUACGGUGUGUAUACACUAUUGUCUUAUCUCUCUAAUCACAUGAUACGCCUUGCGUAUGCAUCAACUUCAAACAAUUAAUUGUUGGAUCAUGACUUGUGAUUUCAACAUUAGUUCUAAUGAAACCAAGAAUAUUAGUCUAUUAGCACCAGCCUUAAAUGCACCUCUGGUUUGAAAAUAGUGUUUCCCACACACCAUAAAGGCAGGCAGUUGAGAGUUGAAUGUAAGCAUUACUUUACCAUACUCUGUAUUAAUUUGCUUCCUCUGGGUGUUCAUCACAUUCUUAUUUUUACACCAAACCCUCUUCUUUAUUCUUUACUCUCUCUUUCUUUGCAUUUUCGUUUAGUCCAAUGCUCAUGGAUUGGCUAGAAAAGUUCAUUUUGGCAGCACUUCUCAUUUUGGCUGCAGCCAUUGAUGGAGCUCAGGCAGAUACCAUGGUCAGUGGCACAGUAUUCUGUGACCAAUGCAAAGAUGGUGAAAGAUCCCUCUUUGAUUAUCCCAUCAAUGGUGAGAUCCAUAAUCUCUAAUUAAUUAGUACUAAUCACAUUCUCCAUUAACACUCUUAAUUGUAAAUUCAUAUGCUUUUGUAUUUUGCAGGUGUUAAAGUACAAGUGGCUUGCAGUGACAGCAAUGGGCAAAUCACAAUGUCAAGGGAAGAAACAACAAAUUGGUUUGGAAACUAUGCUGUCAAGUUUGAUGGCACGCCAGAUUUGAGUGGCUGUUUUGCUCAGGUUUCAAGCACAGGGCAAGGCUCAAAUGGCUGUGGGGUUAGUGCUGGCCCUGCUCAAAGCCUUAGGCUUAUGUUUAGGAUGUUUAAUAUGGCGAUGUAUGCUGUGGACUCUUUGCUCACUCAGCCUGCUCAGCCUAUGUCAUUUUGCCCAAGGUCAGCUAAUCCGGUGGCUCCUGCACCGCCGACACCAGCUAGGCCUCUGCCUAACCCGGUAACGCCGGCCAGCCCUCCGCCUUUUUGGCUUCCGCCUCUUCCAAAAUUGCCACCAUUGCCUCCAUUGCCUCCAUUGCCUCCACUGCCCUCAUUGCCUCCAAUGCCACCAGUGCCCUUCUUGGAAGCUACAGCAUGCCCUCAUCAGUAAGUUAUUUACUGUGGUUUGCUUUGCAGUGUCUUAAGUUGUUGGUUACCUACUUUGAGUGUGGUGAGUAAAAAUUGUUUUCUCCAUAAAACUACCAUAGAGUCUAGUAUGAUCUAUUAUGGUGUACCCCAAACUGUUUUUCUACUUACCAACUAACUCUUGGUUUAGCAAUAUUUCAAUUUUCAGUGUUAAAAGAGGUUCCAAGUUUGAAUUCAACGAUUUUUCUUCUCUGACCAUUUGAUGGGGUUGUGUUUUUUCAGGCAGUGGACAUUGCCAGAGCACAAAUGCUACUGGAGGGCAGUGAGCCCGGACACAAAGGUAGCCGUUGUUUUCGGAUUGGCGGCGGCUAGGAGAUACGGGACUGACCUGACAUUAUUGCAAGGCCUACAAGGAAGAGGAGAACCUUACAGGACUCUCCUGAGGGAAGGGAUCACUGCAUUUCUCAACUCCUACAAUAGUCUUCAAUUCCCUUACAAUUCAAUUGCUGUGGUCCAGCAUUUGAAUUAUGGCUUGAUUGGCUCCAACAGAAACGUCCUCUUCACAGCCUUGCGCUUCAUCAGGGCCAAUUCAGGUUAUGGGAGAGUCCCUUGCAAAUUUACUGCUUGCAAAUGAUUUGUCUAUUUUAAAUCUAAAUUGUAUUAGACUGUGUUAAGUUUGGUUCUAUGUUUAGCUUAAACUAUGAUUAUGUAUUUUUGAUUCUAAAGAGAGAGGGAGGCCUACAGUCGAACUUUAGUUAUGAGUGCGUGGUUAUAAGUGCUCUACUACUAAAGCUAUAAGGUCUUCCAAGUUACGAUUAAACAAUUACAUUCUUGUAUUUCUUAUAUGAAUUUGUAGUUUAUCUAUAUUUUUCUUUUUUAUUUAACUAAUUAACAUAAUUUAUGAUUUAUAAGGUUUGUCCACCAUCAAUCAAAUCUUCAAUUGAUUAAGGUUUGUUCGUCAUCAUUUUCAAAUCUUCAAUUGAUUAAGGUUUGUUCGUCAUCAAUAUCAAAUCUUCAAUUGAUUAUCAUAUCUGCCGACAGAAACCAGAUUUCGUCUGGUAAGGUUAUAUAUGAAUGGUCACACAAAUCCCACAAGAGAAUUUAUGACGGUAAACUAUGUCAUCUCUAAAAUAGGGGAAAAUAAAUCAUGUCGUCCACUCAUAUUAUAACACGUGUAUAAGAUGUAUCACGUGACCAUAUUAUCUGGUAUUUUAUAAUUUCUCCAUCUUAUGAACUUCUGUUGAGAAUUGAUUGGGCUUCUGUCCAUUUCAAUCAAAUAAUAUUGAAUGGCAUUUCUACAUACUGAUCAAAACUAAGGUUGUUUAGUCAACACCAUGCGUAUAAAAAGAAAAACCCACGGUUCUCUUGCCAAGGCCACAAAAUUAAAGCAGAGCAAAAUGAAGCUCACGGUCAAGCAGGUACAAGUUCUUUGCUUUUGGGCUCUAAUUGUGCGCAUGCUUACAAUGCCCUUGCUUUUUCAUAACCACUUAGCAAAAUUCCUUAACACACAUACAUAUUUGAGAAGGAGACUGUCUGUUGUUCUCCAUUUUUUCUUGCUGGCACUCCUGGGGGCAUCAACCGUAGCGCGAUCUGUGUAGUCCGACCCAAUGGCACCCAAUAACACCUUGCACACCCCGUUUGGCACGGUUUGGGUUGUGGAUGACCCCAUUGACAGAGGGAUGUGACCUGAAAUCAAGGGUCAUUGGCAACUCUAGAGGUGUAUAUGUGUCCGCAGGUAAGCAUGAGCUAAUGCUUGUGGCUUACCUUGACUUUGGAUUUACUAGUGGCAAGUUCAAUGGCAGCUCCAUCUGUGCUUUUGAGGAACCCGGUAAGGGACGUUGAUCGGGAGUUCACUGUGGUUAGUGGCCGGGGGAAGUUUAGGAUGGCCAGAGGGUUUUGCAAGCUUAAGUGCAUUUUCUUCAAUGAGACUAAUGGUUCUAUUGUAGAGUACACUGUGGUAGUGAGGCAUUAUUGAGCUUGGUCUGUAUCUUAAUAUAAUAAAAAUAAAAAAACUCAUCAAACAUUUCCUAAGGUGCAGUGAAAUUAGAACUAAUUCAGAUUAUGGGACAAUCCCUUGCAAAUUUAUCGCUUGCAAGUGAUAUGUUUGUCUUCCAUGUGUUAUGCUUGCUUCUAUGUUUAGCUUAAACUAUAACUAUGUUUUAAUUUUUUUCAAAAUUCUAGAGACAUAUUGACUUGAUUGAGGCCGAGAUUCGAACUUUGGUAUAAGAUUAAGUACUCAGCUACUAAAAUUAUAAGCCCUUGCAAAUUAUGAUAUGUAAACACAUUUCCUGUAAUGUUCUUCGAAAUACUAGUUACUGGCUAAAAAAUUUAUCAAGCUAAUGACCAUCAUAUCUUACAUAUGGCCGAAUUAAACAUCAUCAAUAAGCUGUGCAGUUGGGCGUUUGAUGGAAAGAAAGCACAGUUGGGACUUUAUUCCAAGGAAAAUCAGUUGUGCUUCAAUUUAAGGAACUCUGUUUACACUCCAAUCUCGUCUUUGGACACCCAUUAAUGUUGUUUUAAAAAUAUAAUAACAAUUAUAACCCAUUAAUAAGAUUACUAUAAUGGGCUUUGUUACGUUUAUAUUAAAAUUUCAAUUUCUCGGGCACUCACAAAAUAUAAUUAAACCUCACCCUUCCACUCUCACUAAUACUAUACCUAUUAUUAGGCCUAAUCAUUUGGCCCGUGGGCUUGUGAGCCGAUGGGGGUCCGUCCGGCCCGGUCCGUUAUGGGCUUUGAGAUGGCCCGGCCCGCCUUAGGCCAUGCUAGGUUUGGGCUUGGCUCACAUACAUAUAUAAUUAUGUAUAAAUAAGAGUUUAGGAUUAUGAUUAUAUCACUUAAAUCACAUAUAUAAUUUGUUUCAUUUCAUUUACUUUUCUUUACUCAUUCCUAGUUUAUAAUUGGAUGAUUAGCACAUUAAUUUGUGUCAAUUAUUAAUACAAAAAUUAUAUAUAUAAAUAAGAUGAAUAACAUAUCAUAUCACCAAAUAUAAUCAUAUCACGAAACAUAAUCGUACCACAAAAUAUAAUCAUGUUUUUCUUGAACACAUCACCAAACAUUUACAUAUUUAUUUAUACCAUCCUUUAAAAAAAAAUAUCUUUUUGAUACUUAUUAUUUUUUAAAAUUAUUUCUUAAAACGUAUUAUGGUCUAAUUAUGUAAUAACCUCAAAAAUAAUACUUGGUUUUAUUAUUUUUGUGGAAAAUCUUAUUAAGUUGUGUGACUUUAUUGGGUAUUUUAUGAAUUUGGUUUGAUGUGAAAAUAUUGAAAUUAAGUGAGUUUAAUCUCAAAUUUAGACUAAAAUGCCCUUAUGAUUAAGUUUAUGAUUUUUUUCGAACGAAGUAGGCCUGUUUUAGCCCGGCCUGGCCUAAUGGGCUUUCUCAAGCCCGGCCUAUGGGUCGGGCUUGGGCUUUGAAUUGUCUAAAAAAACCCGACCCGGUUUUUUCUCUCUCCUCUUUAAAGCCUGGGCCGGCCUGGUCCAAGCUCGUUAAAUUUGGGUCGGACUAACCCGGCCCGGCCCAUUGACGAGCCCUAUGUAUUAUUUCUCUAACUUCUUAACCACAACCCAUAAAUCACUAAUUCUUAUGUGAAAUAAAUGUAACUAAAUUAUGUGGAAAGAGGUGGACCAAAAAAAAAAUUAUGUGGAAAGACUACAAUGUACAAACAACUUGUCGUCUAUGAUAACUCUAAUAAGGAAAAAGUAUGAUUUGGUGUGUCUUGGGACACUUUUUUUUCUUCCGGUUUUGACAUUGAAAAAUUUUGAGCUGCGACACAUGCAGUGACCAGAAACCACACAACUCAUAAAUCUGUAGUUAGGAAACCAUACAUCAUCAAGAUGUAUGGCCAACACCAACCACAAUUUUUUAUUUUGGAGAUACAUCAACCACAUAUUUAUGAGUAAGUAAUAAUAAUCUUGGAAAUAUCAAAUUUUUUAAAUCUCAACUGAUGUAACAAUGUUUCAUUUAUUUAUAUUUCAACUCAUCGCGAAUAUCAUUUAUUUAGAUUGCCAUAUUAUGUGUCACCCUAAAAAAAACUGAUCUUGUAGCAUAUUAGUUUAUAUUAGAAAGUUGCAAUAGUAGAACUUGGUUUAACAAGGUGGCCUUUGAGUGAGGUCAGAUCAAAUAGAAGAACAAAAAUUUCAUUGAAUGGAACUUUACUUUUGGACCUUAGGGUUAGGUUACAUCCUAGGUGUAUUCGUAUGACCACUAGAAACAAUCACGAGAUUCUUGUUUUAAAAUAAGGUGGUCCAAUCUUAAGUUGUCAUAAACAUUGCCUUGUUCUAGAAAUAGUUGGUCCAAUCUUUGUGAUCAUAUUAUUAGUAUUUACAAUCAAUAUAUGUAGUAACUUGUCAUACAAACUUCUAUUCUUUAAAACAAGACUUGCGCGACAAGGUACUUGGCUUUUAGUCAUGACUCGUUAAAUAUUUAGACCAAUUGUCCAUGCUGUUUUUUUGAUCAAAAAUUGUCCAUGAUAAUGUUGAGGCAAGUAGACGUGGGUUUUGUUUCUAUUGUUUUCUAUGCUUCUGGAUAUAGUUCUUUGGUAGCGUGCGAUUAAAGCGUUUCUCAGUGAAUAACUUUUUUGGGCAAAACAUUAGCUUUGAAAAACUCUUCUUCUGAGCAUUCAAUCAAUCAAUGAGUGUAAGUAUACAAGAUCAUCAUGUGCAAGUAAGGAUUUCAGAGGUCACGAUACUUGAGCAAUUCCAAAUACGAACAUACUGUUCUCAUAAGCAAGAAAGAUAUAAUAACCGUGCUAUUUCAAAUAUUGACAUUUCUACAAAGGCAUAGAUGACCCCAACCCACGCCCACCGUGUGCCAUCAUAAGCAUAUCUCCUAAUACAACUAUAUGGAUUACCUAGCAAGUCCAGUGCAACUUUGUGAAACGCAUAUAAGUUCGUUACUCACAUGCCUUAAAAUCAAUUAUGUGGCGUAGUCCAUGAAACAAUUCUCACAAUGAAAUUGUGUGGUUUCUCCAAUGCAGUGUAGUAAAUCACAUAAAAUUGAUUAUUUUCAUGGACCACCUGUGGGAUCAGCUGAGAAACUGAAAGUGCUUGGGUCUAGGAGGUCAGCUCAAGCGCAUUGGAGUCCGGAAGGUUCGCUCAAGCGCAAGCACACUUGAAGAAAAGAAAAAAAAAAAGAAAAAAAAGAAAAAAAAAGGGGUCAUGGACCACCUAGGAUUAGCUAAGAAACCAAAGGCGCUGGAGUCCAGGAGGUCAGGUCAAGCGCAUUGGGGUCCGGAAGGUCCGCUCAAGCGCAAGCACACCCAAAAAAAAAAAAAAUCAUGGACCACCUGGGAUCAGCUAAGAAACCGAAGGCACUAGGGUCCAGGAGGUCAGCUCAAAUGCAUUGGGGUCCAAAAGGUCCCCUCAAGCGCAAGCACACACCGAAAAAUAAAAUAAAAAAGUCAUGGACCACUUGGGAUCAGCUGAGAAACCGAAGGCGCUGGGGUCAGGUUAGCUCAAGCGCAUUAAAGAUCCGCUUAAGCGCAAGCACACCCAAAAGAAAAAAAAAAUGUCAUGGACCAUCUGGAACGUGGGUUGGGUGGGUGGGGUCCGACUGUAAGUGCAUAAAGGUGGAGAUGGCUGGGUUAGGUGCGGCUACAGAUGGCUGGGGUUGGGUGGGCGUGGGGAAAAUUGGUGGGUUGUGGGCUGCUGGGUUGGGGAGGACGGUGGGGAGUCUAAGGAAGAUGGGGUAGCAGAGAGACAAAUGAAAAUCAAAGUAGAAUGAGAAUAAAGAAGGCUGGUUUUCAAUUUCUAAAAAUAUGGUUAUGGAGAAAACAAAGGGUGGAGAAGGAUUUUUAAUAGCAUACUAGCCUCUCUGCACGCGCUUCCGCGCUUGCGAGAGGUUUUUUUAAAAAAAUAAGUAAAUUUCUUUUAGAAUUAAAAAAGAUAAUGGUAGUUGUGUUCCAUAAAAAUAGGAUCUAUUAUCUGCUUUUUCUUUUUCUUUUAAUUUUUUUAAAUAUGAAAAAGUGUGAAUUUAUCAUAUUAUCCUCAUUUAAUUAAUAAUUUGAAUUCUUAAUGUUUGCAUUAACCAAGGGCAUUUUCUGGUAUUUUGAAUGUUUCACCAUUCUCUGCCUUUUGCUUUAUAUAUAUAGAUAUAUACUAGCCUCUCUGCACGCGCUUUUGCACAUGCGAGAGGUUUUUUUAAAAAAAAUUUAAAUUUAUUUUAGAAUUAAAAAAGAUAAUGGAUAGUUGUGUUCCAUAAAAAUAGGAUUCAUUAUCUGAAUUUUCUUUUAAUUUUAAUUUUUUUAAUAUGAAAAAUUAUGAAUUUACCAUAUUAUCCUCAUUUAAUUAAUAAUUUCAAUUCUUAAUGUUUGCAUUAACCAAGGGUAUUUUCUGGUAUUUUGAAUGUUUCACCAUUCUCUGCCUUUUGCUUUAUAUAUAUAGAUAAACCUUAAACGGCACAAAAAUACUUUUCGUGCCCUAUGAAAAGCACAAUUAAUCGUGCUUUCAAAUUGUAAUAAUAAUUUCAUAGCCUCACUUAUUACUCACAGUGAAGUGACAUAGUAAAAGGUAGUAUUGACAUGGAUAUUAGGCACAAAUCUCGUGUCCAAAUUUCAAUGGGCACAAAUAGAUUCUUUUUGUACUCGUCUUAGACACAAACCUACAGUGUUUUAUGUGUAAUGAAGUUGAAAAAGACACGAUCCUUCUUUUGUGCUCUAUAAAAUGCGUCUUUAGAGCAGUUUUGUAGUAGUAAAAUAAACUGUACAUGCCUAAUUAUGUAGCAUGCGAUCAUGUUGUUAUACUAGAAUUGCUUAAAACUUUCAUGUGAACACGAAAUGACAAGAAUCGUAAGAUAAAGUUGCUCCAACCAAUAAUCAAAUACUCGAAACAAAGAAAAAUUGCAGUCUACUAACAAAGAGAAAUAUGGGGGUCAUAUUAAAAGAAUAAACGAUAGUAGGACUCAACAUAUAAAAAGAUUUUAAAAUAACUCAUCAAAAGAGCUUCGAGUGUGAAUUGCAUUGCUCUCGAUCCACCAUGUACACACGUUGGUACGUUGGUAGUUGGUUUCUGGUAAUCUGAACAGACAUAUAUACCCUUGAUUUGGGACCAGACCAGCUGUAAUCAACUUUGAAGGAAAAUGUGUGCCUCAUACAAGUACGGAAAAAGAUAAAAAAGAAAGAGAAUAUAAUUUCAAUCCCACUUCGGGGCUGCAAGGGUUUUCAUUCACACAACCUGAAAUAUGGGAAGGUUCUGUUUACAUAUAUAUAUUCUCUCUAUUUCUAAAGCAAGCAUGAAAGAAUGAUCAAAUCAACUAUCCAAGUGUGUCAGCUGGCAGAUUGCAAUUGGUGCUAGCUGGUUCUUCUUGUGGUCACAGACUCACCAUACAACACUAAUUUUAUCUUAUCUUAUCUUUUGGUGGGAAACAUGAGCCUUGAAUUGUCCCCUCAAUCAAAUUCAAAUCAAACUCAAGUGCUUGAGUGAGUGUUCAUGGUGGGGGGCAAUGUAGAUUAAGUUAUGGGACCAGAGAAACUUUUGGGAUCCUAUAUUUCUAAGUUUGAAGUUGUAAAUUAAGUUAUAGUGAUCAUGCUCCAAUGGCACAACCAAGCCUCUCUCACUUCUCAUCCUUCCUUUUGAUUCUUCUUCUCUUUGCAUUGUCACUUGGGCAACAAACAGCUGCAGGACAUGGACUCUCAAUCAAGGAAGCCACCAUAGACGAUCUCCAACUAGCUUUCAAGCACAACAAGCUCACCUCAAGGCAACUUGUCCAGUUUUACCUUGGGGAAAUCAGCAAGCUCAACCCUUUCCUCAAGGGGGUCAUAGAAGUGAACCCGGAUGCGCUUUACCUUGCCGAAAAGGCUGACUACAAGCGCAAGACUAAGGCACCAUCUGUGUCACUCUCUAAGUUACAUGGCAUUCCCAUUCUGGUCAAGGACAACAUUGCAACCAAGGACAAGUUGAACACCACAGCUGGCUCUUAUGCUCUGCUUGGCUCUGUUGUGCCCCGGGACGCCGGCGUGGUGACCAAGUUGAGGAAGGCUGGGGCUGUCAUACUGGGAAAGGCCAGCUUGAGUGAGUGGUCCUAUUGGAGGUCCAAUGAUGCACCUUCUGGUUGGAGUGGCAGAGGUGGCCAAGGGGUGGUGAGUUGAGGAUCAUUAAUUGCCUUAUGUUAUGCUGUGAAACUGUCAAUUUAAAACAUACAUUCAACUAAAAGUUCACAUAACUAAUGUUCGAGAUUGACUGUCAGUCUGAUAAUAUAAGAGAACAGACAUUCUGAGAUUUAACCCACUGAGAUAUAGUUCGGUUGAGUGCAGAACCCUUACAAUUUUAGCACGACGCCAAGCGGCUCAAGUAGCGGGCCGGCAAUAUCAGCGGCAGCAAAUCUGGCAACAGUGACACUGGGGAGUGAAACAGACGGGUCGAUUUUAAGUCCAUCCAGUUGGAACUCAGUGGUGGGCAUCAAACCAACAAUUGGCCUUACAAGUCGAGCAGGGGUUGUUCCAAUCUCUCCAAGACAGGACACAGUCGGGUAAGUGGUGAUCAAUCAAUGUAAAUUAUUUUCACAUUAAUUUAGAUGGCUGGCUUUUUCUGUCUCAUUGUUUGUUGGGGGGUGUUGGAUUGAACAGGCCAAUUACUAGGACAGUAUCAGAUGCCGCAUAUGUUCUUGAUGUCAUUGCAGGCAUUGACAGCAAUGACCUUGCAACAAGUGAGGCAUCGAGGUACAUUCCCAAGGGCGGCUAUGCACAAUUUCUCAGACCUGAUGGACUUAGAGGUAAGAGAAUAGGGAUAGUGAGAGCCUUGUUCAACUUUGGCAGUGACGCUUCGUUGACUCAAACUUUCGAACAGCAUUUCAACACUCUGAGGUAACCAAAAAAAUGUAUUAGUCUCUCCAAUUCGAGACAUAAUACGUUCUGUUUUGAUGACAUAAUAAGUUGUUGGAAUUUGGAAAUUUAAUGUAGGAAAAGAGGUGCUGUUUUGGUAGACAAUUUGGAAAUAGCACAUUUUGAUGAAAUCUACUAUAAUUCAAGUAGUGAAGACAUUGCAUUGUCUGCUGAGUUCAAAAUUUACUUGAACACAUACCUCAAGAACUUGGUGGCUUCACCGGUUCGAUCCUUGGCAGACGUGAUAGUCUUCAACAAUAAAAACUCAAAACUGGUGAGUAAAUAGGAGCAAGGGUUUAUGUAACUUUCAAAUCAUAUGCUCAGAAUUUGUCCUAAGUAAUUGGUUGAGCUACCGGCAAUGCAGGAGAAAGUGAAGGAGUAUGGCCAAGGCCUACUCUUGAAAUCUGAAGCAACAAAUGGGAUUGGCAAUGCAGAGAAGGCAGCGCUGGUAAACUUGGCAAAGCUAUCCAAAAAUGGUUUCGAGAAGCUCGUGACGAAGAAGAGGCUAGACGCAGUGGUGGCUCCAUCUGCAACCGUGUCGACGUUGCUCGCCAUAGCAGGCUCCCCAGGAGUGGUUGUCCCAGCAGGAUAUACUAAAGAUGGGGUACCGUUUGGCAUCUCCUUUGGCGGGCUGAGGGGUUCGGAGCCAAAGCUAAUUGAGAUAGCAUACGGCUUUGAGCAAGCCACUAAGAUUAGGAAGCCUCCUUCACUUAAAAACUUCAAGAUUUAGAGCCCCAUUUUAUUGGUAUUGAAGCUAAUGGGCGUGCUAUUGUAGUCUUACCACAAUAUCAAUAGCAUUAAGAGUACAAGUGAUAGUCUAAACUAUAAGAGAGUUGAUGAAAGGUAUGAAAGAUUUUUUUUUUUUUUUUAAUGUUUACAAGUCAGGGUUUUUUUUUUUCACUGUGCUAGACCCGGUUGGCAACAAAAUAUGUAUGAUUUAAACAUUAUAAACAUGAUCCACAACCAUAGGAAACAUAAUAUAACUAAGUAAAUAAUAAGCCAAAGUGAAACUCCUAUCCCGUGAGAAUUAACCAAUUAAAUAUCAUCUAAUCAAAUUGCUCUCACCAUCAGGGGCGGAUGCACAGAGGGACAAUAGGGGUCAAGUGCCUUAUGGCAACUGAAAAGGUAGCUGUAGAGGUCUCAAACGACCCCAUGGCUGGCUGGUGUGCGACCUCGAAGGUGCACACUAGAUGUUUGAUGAAAGGUUUGAAAGACCUAGUGAUGCUGCUGUUGCGCGCAGCACAGCGAGGUAAUUUUUUUUUUUCAAAAUCACAUGGCCAAAACAACGUUGUUUUGGUCCAAGCGUAUUCAAAUUUUUUUUAAUGACCUGACUUCAAAACGACGUCGCUUUAAGCCAGCUUUUAUAAAAUUUAAAUUUAUAAAAAUAAAAAUAAAAGAACAGAACCCACCCUUUUUUUUCACAUUUACACCAGGUCUUAAAUAUGUUGAUCUUUAGAGCACUUCCAGCGCGCGUUUUCAACCCGGGCAAGAGGGGCCCAAAGGCCACAAUCCAACUCCACCGCGCCAAGUCCAGCCAGGGCAAGGUUUGGGUCUCACGAGCCUCGUAAGCCCACAAGCAAAUUCAGCUUGAGCUGCUACCUAGGCAAAAUGACACAAUGCUGACGUCAUAAUGAUGUCAUCAAUCAAGAAAGAUUUUGAAAAAAAAUACCAAAAUUUCAGAAUUAUAUAUAUAAAUAUCUAGUCAUAUUCUUUACUUCCUACAUCAAAAACUUCUUUCAAAUUCAUCUCCUCAUAUCUCAUGUGAAUAGUAAUUGCCCUUGUCAUGGCCCAUAGGGGUGGAAACAAAAUUGCAAGGGUUGCCAUUAUUCAUGUGAAUAGUGACAGCCCUUGCCUUGCCCUUGCCUUGCCCUUGCCCUUGCCUUGCCUUUGCCCAUAGGGGUGAAAGUGCUCUUAUAUCAAUUUCUUCAUAUAUUACAACUGUACUAGUACAAACACCCCUUUUACUUGCCCAGCUAGACUCACCCCCCCAAAUGAAUAUUUCUUCCUCCUCUCAUCAACAAUUGAUUAAGGGGUUAUUGAUAGUGUUUUGAUUAAUUGAUUAAUGCUUGUGUUUUGAUUAAUUGAUUAGGGCUUUGUGUUUUGAUUAGUUUAUUAGGGCUUUUUUUUAAUAUUUGAUUAGGGUCUUGUGCUCAGGUUUUUUUUACAUGUUUUGUGUUUUGAUUAGUUGAUUAGGAAUGAAAAUGCUAUUGUUUAAUUUUUCAAUGUUUAUUUUGUUUUGAAGAAAAAUUUCGAAAUCUUUACACUAUGACCCCAUAUUCUAAGAAUCCUAAAUCUGCCACUGCUCACUAUACCUAUUUUUUCUCUAACUUCUUAACCACAACCCAUAAAUCACUAAUUCUUAUGUGAAAUAAAUCUACUAAAUUAUGUUGAAAGAGUUUGACCAAAAAAAAAAAUUAUGUGGGAAGACUACAAUGUACAAACAACUUGUCGUCCAUGAUAACUCUAAUAAGGAAAAAGUAUGAUUUUGUGUGUCUUCGGAUACUUUUUUUUAUUCCAGUUUUGACAUUGAAAUUUUUUGAGUCGCGACACAUGCAAUGACCAGGAACGACACAACUCAUAAAUCUGCAAUUAGGAAACCACACAUCAUCAAAUUGUGUGGCCAACACCAACCACAUAUUUUAUUUUUAUUUUUGAGAUAUUGAGUAAUAAUAAUCCUAGAAGUAUCAAAAAAUUUCAAUAUCAACUAAUGUGGUAAUUCUUCAUUUAUUUAUAGUUCAAUUCACCGUGAACAUCAUUUAUUUAGAUUGACAUAUUAUGUGUCACCCUAAAAAAAAAAACUGAUCUUGCCCCACAUUAAUUGAUAUUAGAAAGUUGCAAUAGUAGAACUUGGUUUAACAAGGUGGCCUUUGAGUGAGGUUAGAUCAAAUAGAAGAACAAAAAUUUCAUUGAAUGGAACUUUACUUUUGGACCUUAGGGUUAGGUUACAUCCUAGGUGUAUUCGUAUGACCACUAGAAACAAUCACGAGAUUCUUGUUUUAAAAUAAGAUGGUCCAAUCUUAAGUUGUCAUAAACAUUGCCUUGUUCUAGAAAUAGUUGGUCCAAUCUUUGUGAUCAUAUUAUUAGUAUUUACAAUCAAUAUAUGUAGUAACUUGUCAUACAAACUUCUAUUCUUUAAAACAAGACUUGCGCGACAAGGUACUUGGCUUUUAGUCAUGACUCGUUAAAUAAUAUCAACUCAUAUUUAGAACCAAUUGUCCAUGAUGUUUUUUUGAUCAAAAAUUGUUCAUGAUAAUGUUGAAGCAAGUAGACGUGGGUUUUGUUUUCUAUUCUUGUUCCUUCUAUAGGAAAUAAACUGUACAUGCCUAAUUAUGCAGCAUGCGAUCAUGUUGUUAUACUAGAAUUGCUUAAAACUUCCAUGUGGAUAAUGACAAAAAAUCGUAGGAGAAAGUUGCCCCAAACAAUAAUCAAAUCCUACAUGAAUGUUAAAGCAACAAAGGGGUUAUUAAAAAUUUAUUAAGUGUCAAAUUGCCGUAUAGGUCAUCAAGAGAUGAUAUUGUGAUGAACUAUUACUUUUGGCCUUCUAUCUAUGCCACCAAAAAUUAUCCAAUUUGUGAACGGUUAUCUAUGAUAUAAGGCUUUAUAAUUCUUUUUUUUAGUUCCCAACAGAAUCAUGGACUGUAUAUGAAGUUUUAAGUAUUAUUGUCACAUACCCGACAUGGUAAUGAUUAUAAUAUUAUGUACACUAUUAUAGGUUAAUACUUUUUAUGGAGGAUUGAGAUACAAAGGCGGCAAAGGUUUUCAUUCACACACUUCUCUCUUCUCCUCGUACGCAUCAAAUAAGGUAGCUUCUUUUUUUUUUUUUUCAAAUUUACCCUUAUUAAUUAUUUAUUGUUAAUUAAAACACAUUAACCAGUUGGGAAUUUUCCUCUUCUCCCAACUCCCUAACCCAGCUCAAGAGAAGAAGACGUCAGAGCCUAAUUUGGAUCCCACCAUCGCAUUCAUUGAUACCAACCUCAUAUCAGAAAGCUCCAUGUUUUUUUUUUUUUUUUUGGGUUGCCUGCCCUAUUUCAUAUAUUCUCUCCGUUUCUGAAAUAAGAAAAAAAGAAUAAUAAAAUCAACUUUCCAAUUGUGUCAGCUGACAGAUUGCAAUUGGUGCUAGCUGGUUCUUCUUGUGGUCACAAACUAAUCAUGCAACACUGAUUUUCUAUUCUUUUAGGUGGGAAUAUUAGCUACCAACUAGUCUAGUCACCUUAAUCAAACUCAAUUGCUUCACGGAAGUGGCCAAUGGGACCAGAGAACUUCUCAUUCCAAACAACCAAAAACUCAUAAAAUGAUCAUGAAGUCAAUCAAAUUGCAAAUUAUUAAGAAGUGAAUUGAGGGGUACUUUUCGCUUUUGGGACCCUAUAUCCAUGGCACAAUUUCUAAGUUGAAGUUGUAAAUCAAGUUCUAGUGUUCACUCCUCCAAUGGCACAAGCAAGCCCCUCUCACUUCUCAUCCUUCCUUCUGAUUCUUCUUCUCUUUGCACUGUCACUUGGGCAACAAACAACUGCAGGACAUGGACCCUCAAUCAAGGAAGCCACCAUAGACGAUCUCCAACUAGCUUUCAAGCACAAGCAGCUCACCUCAAGGCAACUAGUCCAGUUUUACCUUGGGGAAAUCAGCAGGCUCAACCCUUUCCUCAAAGGGGUCAUAGAAGUGAACCCGGAUGCGCUUUAUCUUGCGGACAAGGCUGACUACGAGCGCAAGACUAAAGCACCAUCUGUGUCACUCUCUAAGUUACAUGGCAUUCCCAUUCUGGUCAAGGACAGCAUUGCAACCGAGGACAAGUUGAACACCACAGCUGGCUCUUAUGCUCUGCUUGGCUCUGUUGUGCCCCGGGACGCCGGUGUGGUGACCAAAUUGAGGAAGGCUGGGGCAAUCAUACUGGGAAAGGCCAGCUUGAGUGAGUGGGUCUAUGGGAGGUCCAAUGAGACACCUCCUGGUUGGAGUGGCAGAGGUGGCCAAGGGGUGGUGAGUUGAGGAUCAUUAAUUGCCUCCUGUAUACCUUGUUUGAUUAAUUUAAACGGUUAAGUUCUCUUGAUAGAAACUUGGUAUGUUAUGUUGUGAAACUUUCAAUUUGAAACAUACAUUCAACUAAAAGUUCACAUAACUAAUGUUUGAGAUUGACUGACAGUUUGAUAAUAUAAGGUAACAGACAUUCUGAGAUUUAACCCACUGAGAUAACAGACAGUCUGAUAAUGUUCGGUUCAGUGCAGAACCCUUACAAUUUCAACGCGACGCCAAGCGGCUCAAGUAGCGGGUCGGCAAUAUCAGCGGCAGCAAAUCUGGCAGCAGUGACACUGGGGACUGAAACAGACGGUUCAAUUUUAAGUCCAUCCAGUUGGAACUCAGUGGUGGGCAUCAAACCAACAAUUGGCCUUACAAGUCGAGCAGGGGUUGUACCAAUCUCUCCAAGACAGGACACGGUCGGGUAAGUGGUGAUCAAUCAAUGUAAAUUAUUUUUACAUUAAUUUAGAUGGCUACCUUUUUCAGUCUCAUUGUUUGUUGGGGGGUGUUGGAUUGAACAGGCCAAUUGCUAGGACAGUAUCAGAUGCCGCAUAUGUUCUUGAUGUCAUUGCAGGCAUUGACAGCAAUGACCCUGCAACAAUUGAGGCAUCGAGGUACAUUCCCAAGGGCGGCUAUGCACAAUUUCUCAGACCUGAUGGACUUAGAGGUAAGAGAAUAGGGAUAGUGAGAGCCUUGUUCAACUUCGGCGGUGACGCUUCGUUGACUCGAACUUUUGAACAGCAUUUCAACACUUUGAGGUAACAAAACCAUGUAUUAGUCUCUCCAAUUCGAGACAUACGUUCUGUUUUGAUGACAUAAUAAGUUGUUGGAAUUUGGAAAUUUAAUGUAGGAAAAGAGGUGCUGUUUUGGUAGACAAUUUGGAAAUAGCACAUUUUGAUGAAAUCUACUAUAAUUCAAGUAGUGAAACCAUUGCAUUGGCUGCUGAGUUCAAAAUUUACUUGAACACAUACCUCAAGAACUUGGUGGCUUCGCCAGUUCGAUCCUUGGCAGACGUGAUAGCCUUCAACAAUAAAAACUCAAAACUGGUGAGUAAAUAGGAGCAAAGGUUUAUGUUACUUCCAAAUUAUGCUCAGAAUUUGUCCUAAGUAAUUGGUUGAGCUACCGGCAAUGCAGGAGAAAGUGAAGGAGUAUGGCCAAGGCCGACUCUUGGAAGCUGAAGCAACAAAUGGGAUUGGCAAUGCAGAGAAGGCAGCGCUGGUAAACUUGGCAAAGCUAUCCAAAAAUGGUUUCGAGAAGCUCGUGACGAAGAAGAGGCUAGACGCAGUGGUGGCUCCAUCUGCAACCGUGUCGACGUUGCUCGCCAUAGCAGGUUCCCCAGGUGUGGUUGUCCCAGCAGGAUAUACUAAAGAUGGGGUACCGUUUGGCAUCUCUUUUGGAGGGCUGAGGGGUUCGGAGCCAAAGCUAAUUGAGAUAGCAUACGGCUUUGAGCAAGCCACUAAGAUUAGGAAGCCGCCUCCACUUAAAAAACUUCAAGAUUUAGAGCCCCAUUUUAUUUGGGUGUUGAAGCUAAUGGGUGUACUAUUGUAGUCUUAUGAUCAACAAAAUGCUAAGGAUAAUAAUGACGGGUCUUGAUCAUUUAGAUUUUAUUACAACUGUUCUCUUGGUCUAAUACAUUUCUCUUUCAAAUGCUGUAAGAGAUUCAAGUUCAAAUGGCUCUCCCAAAUAAUUUAAAUUUAAAAAAAAAAUCAGAAAUUCUAUUAAAAUUGAAAACUAUUAAUUACUUGUUUUCUAUGAUAACCUUUUCAUGCGUUUAAUAACUGGAAUGCAUCAUGAUUUGACCGCAAUACCAAUACAUUUAGCAUUAAGAGUACAAGUGAGAGUCUAAACUACAAGAGAGUUGAUGAAAGAUAUGAAAUUAUUUUAUUUUAUUUUUUAAUAUUUACAAGUCAAAGUUCUUUUUCACCGUGCUAGACUUGGUUGGCAAAAAAUAUGUAUGAUUCACCGUGCACGGCUAUAUUAUUAUUAUUUUUAAAUAAAUAAAUAUAUAUAUAUACUUGCCCAAUGCAUAAGCGCCACGUGCCAAACAGGAAAAGUAGGGCAGCUAUACUUUCUUUUUUUUAAAUUUCGAAAAAACGAGUAUAGCCGCUCGGCUAUACUAAGUCUCGAAACAAAAACAUAGCUUUCAAACUUAUCCGAACUUGUUCCAAAACUGUUCGCAAGCCUCGAACCCUAACUGUAAACCUAUUGUAGGGCACUUAGGACUCGAUUAGGGUUAGAUAAUCACAUAACUCGACCCAGGGCUUUACGAUUUAGGUUUUGCUCUCAAUCUUGAGCUUUGGGGAGUUUUAAUUAAGGGCCAGUUUGGCAUUGAUGUGCUGUGAAACUAAUCAUUGUCAGAUUUGCUGUGAGAGAAAUCAACUGUGAGAUAAAACAGUUUGGCUUUUGGUAAACUUUUUGUUAAAAGUGUUGUUGGUAUUGAUUUCUGCAUAAUCAGAAAAUGAUUGCCGCAUAAUCAUUAAACCCAGUGCAUCUUCGAAACUGAAUUCUGCAUAAUCAGAAAAUGAAAGCAUCUCAUUAGCUAUUUUCCCUUAUAGCUUUCUCUCAGAACAAUUUUUAACAAUAAGUGAUUUUCUCAUAGUUAACCAAACGGGCUGGGCUUCCCAAAAUUUUUUUAAAAUCACUUAUCACCUCAAAUAAGCAAUAACAAACGGGCACUAAGACAUCUAAACGAAAAUAAGUAAUUUAUUUUUUCGUUUUUGCACAACAUAAUUAAAUCAGUAACAUAUUUAAAUAUUCACUAAAUAAAUAAUAAUUAAUACGUAAUUACUAAUCAAAGUGAUUCAAGAAGGCUAAUCACAUAUAUUAAGUUAAAGAAGUUGGCCCAAAAAAAAAGUAAAGAAACUAAUUUUAUAUUUUUAAAAUUCAAAAUUCAAAAAAAAAAACUCUCCCGACGAAAUUUCAUUGGCAGAGGAAACAUUCGUCGGGAGAAGUUUAAUCCAACAAAUAUUUACCGGCAUAGACCUGUACCGACGAACAUUCGUCAGGAGAUGUAUUUUCUUAGUUUGCUAUUACAGGGUAUAGCCGGUCAGCUAUACUUUAAAAUAUUCUUUUUUACGGGUAUAGCGGUCCGGCUAUACUGUUAAGGUAUUAUAUUUUUUAGAGUAUAGCUACGCGGCUAUACUAUUUAUAUAUUAAAAAAAGAAGCGACCAGCGCAUAGGUGCCACGUGUCAACACAGUUUUUUUUAAAACGGGUAUAGCCGCACGACUAUACUAUUUCUUUAAAAAAAUUCAAGAAGAAUAUAGUAUAGCCAACGGCUAUACUAUUUAUAUAUGUAUAUAAAGACACGCCCACCUAUGUGCCACGUGUCAAACAAGUACAGCCGUCCGGCUAUACUAUUUUGUUUUUAAAAUUUAGAAAAAAAAGGAGUAUAGCCGUGUGGCCGAUAAAUCCCUUUCUCAGAGUAUAGCCGCGCGGCGUUUUUCUCUUUCAUUAAAAAAACGAAAGGGAAAGGAAGGAAACAGCGCAACCAGCUGUUGCACAACCAAACAAAAAGGGAAACCAGAGUAACAACCGAAACACCCCCUGGGCAACACGACAAGAAGUCCAAACACACAAAGCACACCAAACAAAACAACUAAAGACAACAACAAAAACACCAGCUAGGACAAGAACAAUCUAGGACGCCGCCCCUGAAGGCGUGCGUCAGAGCCUAACUGGACGAAAAACCUUACACCUGUGGAGGACAGGGAAGCCCAUCACUUUGGAGAAGGAACACCAGGGAGGAUGGGGGUAGCUGGGCUUUAGUGUGUAAAUGGCAACUGGUGGUGGUGGUGGCUCUCCGUUGAUGAAUAGAGGUAAGUCAGAUUUUGUAGGUUUGAUUUGAUUUAAAUUAAUUUAAUUUUUGCUUGAUUAGUACAUGGGUACUCAAUUAUGGCUUAAUUAGUUUGGGAGAAGAAAUGGCUUCCCCAGUUUCAGUUUCGGUACUCUGAGAAAGGGAUUUAUCGGCCGAUAUCUCAUACCUCAGCCCAGUUGUGUUUCAAAGUUUGAAGUUAUGAACUCUGUGAGUCUGCAGCUAGUCCACUGCUUACUUGUGAUUCUUCUGCUUACAUUGUCAUCUGGGCCACAAACAAUUACAGGGCAAGGGUUCUCAAUCAGGGAAGCCACCAUAGAUGAUCUCCAACUUGCUUUCAAGCACAACCAGCUCACCUCAAGGCAACUUGUCCAAUUUUACCUUGGAGAAAUCACCAGACUCAACCCUUUCCUCAAGGGGGUCAUAGAAGUGAACCUGGAUGCUCUUGACCUUGCCGAAAAGGCUGACUACGAGCGCAAGACCAAGCCACCAUCUGUGCCACUCUCUAAGUUGCAUGGCAUUCCCAUUCUGAUCAAGGACAACACUGCAACCAAGGACAAGUUGAACACCACAGCUGGCUCUUAUGCUCUGCUUGGCUC
rnacentral:lncRNA from 1 species